ACAAUUCAGUGAGGUUUUGAAGAUCAACAAUUGAAGAAGAUAGGCGUUCCAGAUUUGGAAAAGCUUCAAUCCACAGAGAUGUUAGAGAGGCAGGAAGAGGAAGCGCGGUCCCUAAUCUUUUGUCCUCUAGUGGAAAUGAAACCAUGUCCUCAUCGCAUCUGCUGAUUGUAAGACGUCGCAGAGAGGAGAAUCUGUGAAAUCCCCGUCCCCGCUCAAUCAUUGACUUCCAAAUCUCCAUAUUACCCCAAAUAUCAAGUGACUGAAGGUUGGUGGGAAGGCCAUCUUCUUCUUCAAGGCUUGGAAGCGCACCUCCUUUUCCUAUUCUUAAGUAUUGAAGAGAGGUCAGAUUGUGCAUUCCCUUGGGUAAGGCCUCUAGUCUCUUACAAUCAAGUAUCGUCAGCCUCGUGAGUUUCGCACAAGGCAAUCCCCCUUCGGGAAAGGACACCAGAUUUCCACAACUAUCUAUACUGAUUGUUUCAAGAGAUGUGUUGUUGUCCAACCUUUCUGCUAUUGACCCCAGAGGUAGAUUGCCAACUUCAAGGGACUCAAGCGUGGCAGGUAACUCGUUUUUUGAAAAUAUACAUGUCAGAGAUGGACAACUAAUAAUUUCUAAGUGCUCGAGAAGAGAUGAGGUGUACCUUCUGCUGCUGCUGCUACACUGGAUGCCCUCUUCCACUGUCAAAGUCCUUAUAUUAUAGCAAUCGCAGAUCUGCAACUUCUUAAGGCUCGAUGGUAGCUGGACCGCAGCAAUAUAUGUCAAGGAAUGGCACUUCUCAAUAUCCAAGAUCUCGAGAGACGAAUUGGUGUCGCACAUCCAUGCCUCUGGUAACGAUUUCAGUGCAUCACAAUGCCUAAUCUGAAUUUUCUUCAACUUGGAAGGCAGAGCAACCUCAGGAAAGGAAACAAGGGAACUGCACUUGCAGAUUUCUAUCUCUCUCAAGGAACUGAGGCUGAACGAUGAUUGUGGCAGCUUCACAAGGCCUUCGCAAUUACUCAAUCUUAGAUAUUCAAGUCUGCAUGACAACUCGCAGAGCUGCUGUUGUUGGUCUUUCUUUUCCUCCGCCACCAAGGAUUGAAGUUUGGGACAGCUGUCAAUCGUCAGUCUUUUGAGAGAGCAAAUGUCUUGCAGUAAUUCGUUAUGACUCUUCCAUAUAUGUGUUUCAUUUUUAAUAUUUUUUAUCUCCAAUUCUUCCAGUUUUGGUAUUCGCGGCUUCAAUGGCCCUGCGAGAAACACUUGAUUUGAUGUAUCUCUACAAACCACUGAAUUCUGUGAGCCGAGAUGAUCAGUUGCACUUCUCCACACAACCUUUUUACAUCCACCAAUUUCCAUUUUGCAAAGAGCUGGAAGACUCGCAAUUGAAAUUGAUAAUUCUUCGCAUUCUCCAAUAACAAGCAUCUCCAAUGCAGGAAGGUGCUCUGGAAAUGUUCCUUGCAGUUUAGAACAUCUUAAAAUGUGAAGCUCUCUCAAUUUAGGAAACCGUUCAACUCCUUGACUGGAUCCAUGAGGAAUCCACUCUUCCCACUCUUGCAGGUCUUCAAAACGAAGAGUCUCCAAGCAUGUAAAUGGAAUUUGAGAGUCAUCCCCAUAGAACUCUGAACCCAAUCUCUUUACUCUACUCAUUCCACGCACUGUAAGAUGCUUUAGAGAGGGCAGUUGGCCGACUGACGGCAGGGCAGUACACAUGCCGCAAUCUUCAAAUUUAAGUGUUACUAAAUUUAAGAAUGAGGAAUCUCCUAACCAUGUUGGAAAUUUUGUACCUCCAUAGCCACAGAUACCAAAUUGUUCCAGAUUUUUAUGGGGUUUGAGCACGUCAAGCACACCCAUUUCAGUUUCUGCCUCCCUUGAAGAUGAACCAUCGGUGCUGCAAGUCCAAUUAAGCGAUAAUUCUCUAAGAUUCUUCUUUCCAUCCAACCGAGCCUCCUUUGCAUCACCAAUGUCUUUUACAUUCUCUAAUUUUGAAAUUUUAAGUGUCCCCUGAAGAUGUAUCAAUGACUUUAGCUCUCGUAACCCAGAACCAUUGUCUUUUCCCACAGCGAAAUUACCCAGCAUUUGAAGACAAGUCAGCUUACCAAUUCCUAGUGGCAUUUCCUCCAAGGAAUCUGUAUUUGAAUUAUUGAGAUGAUGCAAUUUGAUGAGAUUUCCCAUGUCUGCACACAACUUCUUCAGUCGUCGACAGCCCUCCAAAAGAAGGGUGUGCAAGUUGUAAAGCUUGCUGACUGAUUCAGGCAGAGUUUUAAUUUCAGUUCCAGACAGGUUAAGGUGCCUUAAAUACCUCAAAUCACCAACUGAAUCCGGCAGCUCGGCUAUGCAAUAUCCACGCAGAGAGAAGACCCUUAAGCUUUGGAGUUUGAACAACUUAGGAAGAAUGCUAUGAGCCAAGUAUCCAUGCCGACUAUUUAACAUCACUGGUAAAAAAUUUCUCAAAUGUUGGAUAUCAUACAAUUUCUCAAACCUUUGAACGCCAUCAUAAUCUCCACGAAUGUACGACAGAUGACGAAGAUUUCUAGAAAAACUUUGUUGCUUGUUAACCUCCGAGGUAUACUCCAGUGUGAAGUAUGUCUCCCCUGCAGCCCAACGGGCAAGGUCGUUGAUAAGAUCGUGCAUAACAAAUCGUGACAUACUGUUGCUCGAUUGCUGGAAAAAAGAUCUUCCACGUAGCUCUUGAAAGAACUUUCGACCAAGAUCUUCACUAGGAUUCCCACUCUCUCCGUGAUUCAAGAAACCCACAGCACUCCAUAAUAAAAUUAUCUCCCCCUCUUCAAAUUCAUAAUCCUUUGGAAACAAUGAGCAAUACGCAAAGCAUUGUUUCAAAGGUGCCGAAAGAUAAUAGUAGCUCACUCUAAGCGCCGGCAUAAUGUCACAUCUCUCUUCUUGCAAUUCCCAUAUCUUGGUACUGAGCACUCUCUCCCAAUCACAUCUGUCAUCUUUUCCUCGCAAAAGUCCUCCAAGUGUUUGCGCUGCCAAGGGCAAGCCAUCGCAUUUGGCCACUAUCUUCUUGCCAAUUUCCUCCAAUAACUUAUCUGACCCCAAAGAGUGUUGAGCGAACACAGACAGACAAUCAUCGUUUGACAACUUUUUCAAUUCAUAAGCCGGAGCAGUCCCCAUGAUGGCUGCAACCCCUUGAUUACGAGCUGUGACAAUAAUCUUACUUCCCGGUGCGCCAGCUUCAAAUGGACGCCUGAGUCGAUCCCAAUCAUUGUAAUUCUCAUUCCAAACGUCAUCUAAAACAAGCAAAAAUUUAUUUUGAGAUAAUUUCUUCUUCAGCUCCUCUUGAAGCUUAUUCAAGUCGUGAUUAUCCACAUUCUGGUCACUAGCAAUUGAAAGUAGGAUUGAUUUUGUAAGCCUGAUAACAUCAAAAUCAUCAGAGACGCAAGUCCAUGCCUUGAGAUCAAAAUGAUCCUGCACUUGCUUAUCAUUGUAGACAAGCUGAGCGAGAGUGGUUUUGCCCAGCCCGCCCAUACCAAUGAUAGGAAUAACGGAGAAUUCACCAUCAUUUCUCAAAUCAUCCCUCAACAACAAUACAACAAUUUCCUUCUUUUCUGUUUCCCUCCCAUAUACCUUGGCUUCAUUCACCAAAGAGGUUGUGGGUAGUCUUUGCCUAUCUUUUUUGGACCUUCCAACUGAACUUACGUUCAAACCCAGCGAGUCUUUCUGUGUUACAAUAUCUUGAAAUCUGUCGUUGAUCUCUUUGAUUUUGGACAUUAUGGCGUAAUCGAACUGAAUCGAUUGUGGAGUAAAAGUGGUGCAGCAAGUAGGAAUGAGCUUCCGAAACUUACUUGUUCUUGUACGACUGCUACUGGGUUGAUCAAGAGCAGCAGCUGGAUCUCGAUUUCCAAGCAGCAACUUCCUCCGGAAAGCCUCAGUUUGAAACUCAUCCAGCAAGUCUUCAACAUCAAAAGCCAAGUUCUGAAGCUCGCCAAGCCACAACUUCACAGACUGAUCAGUCUUCUUCUCCUCAGCAUCAGCAAGCACCGCCUUGAUCAUCACCAACAUAUUCUUCCACUUCUUUAGGUCGGCUUGGAUUUGCUCUUGGCGUGCAAACAGCCGAAUCCCCUCUGAAGCUAACUUAUUGACCAGCAAAUCAAUGGACGCCGUAAGGAUUGCCUCUCCGAUGAAUGACAUUUUUUGUUCUUUUGCUUUUUUUUUUUUUGGUUUUGCAAAGAAAGAAAGGAGCAGAAUUAUGGGUUAUGGAAAGCAGAAUGAGAAAAUGGAACAGGUGAGAAAAUGGAUAAUUAAGCAGAAUGAGUGUGUGAUUGUGAAGGGUCUGGCCCAGCAAGCUUAGUAGAAAUCACGCGUUGAUACUUUAUUGACCAAUGACUAAUAAUUUGGCAAUUCACUCAUCACCACCACUUGGUAAGCAAAAUGAAAAUGCUUAGUAAUUAAGUGUCAAGGGUCAAGCAAAUACGGCGUUAAUCCAGUGUCUAUUUCCUAGAACCUUCAUCUCAUAAACCAAGUUCAAUCAAAACGUUCCUCUCUCGCUAUUUUUUUUUUAAAAAAAAAAAACUCCUAAAACGUUUCUUUUUAGAAAUAUUUUACUUUAUUCAUCUAAUAUGUUAUCUAACAAAUACACACAAUUGAAAUCACUCUAAAGUGAAGAUGAAAGGGGAAAAAAAUUACCUUCCAACCACCAGUAAUCUAGCAAGCUUCACUUUAUUCCACCAAAGUGUAAAUAAAGCCAGCCCCCACCGGCAUCAAUAAUUUUGCAAGCUUCACAGGCUUGUUGUCUUCUCCUUGACGAACUGGACAUGAGUGCACCAAGAAUCAAUGACAGAAUUUUAAAAAUAAUAAUAAGAGAAAAACCUACAUAUUUUCGACUUAGAGUAGAACCUUAAUUAAUGCUAAAAUCUACUCAGCUAAUUUUCAAAACCGUGAUUAGGGUUCAUCUCAAAUGUUUGAAGAGAGUCUAUCAGUUCUUCUACGUUAAGAAUAUCAAAAUUCUUGCUUUUUCUUCAAACAUUGAAGAAUGAAAACAAAAAGUUGAAUAUGGAAGAAAAGAGAAUGCAUCCAUCUUCGCUGUAGAAGUCUUCUACUUAUAAAAGCAAGUUAGAAUAAACUAUUUUAAUCUCUCUUUUUAUUCUUGUAAGUGCACUACAUUUUUUUUUUUAAUCUCAAUGCGAAAUCAUAUCAUAAUGUUAUAUUCAUGUUGUAAAACGAAAUUUUAGAUAAAACAAAUUCGACUCAUUUUUUAAAGGUAUAUAUUUAAUAGGUUACUAACAUAACUAACAAAACGUGAUUAUUACACUAAGGACAUGUUUGGUUACUGUAUUAUAACCCCUCAUUGCAUUAGUUUUAUACAAGCCUAUGUUUGGUGAAUUAAAAACUACAGAAACACUGCAUUAUGGGCCUAGCUAAUGCGGCAAACUGCCGCUUGCUGUUUCCUUUUUUUUUUUUUGCCUUUUCAUUUCCAACUUUUCAGUUUUUGCUAACUUUUGUUUUUACUUUAAUUUUUUUUUUCUUUUCGUUUCCAACUUUUCAGAUUUUACUAACUUUUGCUUUUACUUUAAUUUUAUUAUAAUAAUAAUAAUAAUAAUAAUAAUAAUAAUAAAUAUUUUUAAUUUAAUAUUAUAUUAUUUAAUAUUUUUAUUUUUACAUUUUAAUUUAUUAAUAAAUUUACAAUUUAUUAUGACUAAUAAUAAAUAUUUAAAUAUGAAUAAUAUUAAUUUAAAAUUAAUAAUAAUAUAAAAUAUUAAUAUAAUUUAAAUAUAUUAAUAUAAUAUAAUAUAAUAUUUAAUUUAAAUUAAUCAAAAAAAUUAUUACAGUACAGUGUAGUACCAAACAUUGUACAGUAUUAUUAUAAUAUAAUACUAAUAUAAUACAGCAUAAUAUAAUACAACAACAUUAAAGUAAUGCAAUACAACAUAAUACAAUACGUGUACCAAACACACCCUAAAUGAAAUAAAAGACAGUACUAUCACCAAUAAUUUAGCCAGUUUCGCAUGCACGUGUUUCUAAAAACAUUAUAUGGAAUCAAACAACAGUGAUACAAAGAGAAAAGUGGAAAUCCUCUGAUUGUAUUUUUUUUUUUUUUUCAAAAGAAAUGGUGGGGUUGGUUUGUUUGCAAAGUUAUUAGCGUGGGUCUAUUUGUUUUUGUUUUAACUUUUUUUUUUAAACCAUUCAGUUUCUGGCGACCGCAUUGAAUCCUGACUAAUUCGAAUUCGAAGUGUAAUCACAGUUAAGACUCAUUACCCCUCCCAAAUGGUGUGUUUAAUGGGGAUCGAAACCGAGAGCCCUUCUCACAAAUCCAACCAGCGUUGCCAACGGAGCCACAACCAUUUGGUUUGUUUUAACUUUAUUAUUCGAUAAGCAAACGUGUAAUGAUUUGUAAAUAUCACUAGCAUCACAUUAUUGGGAGGUAUUGGGCUUAGUAUUCACAAUUUUUGUAAGAUGAAUUUGUAAGACUAAUUAAUUUUGAUGAAAAUGUAUCGUUAUUAAGAUAUUAUUUAAUUCAUUAAGUUAACUUGAGGUAUUAAUAUUCACUAAUUGUGGUGCUGAUUAAUUUACUUAACUUGUCACUAUUUGCAAUUAUGAAUGAAGUUCAAUCAAUUUAUUGAGAAAAAAAAAAAACAAAGAUACCUUUUUUCUUUUGAUUUUAAUUCUUAGGAUUUGAUUUCACACUCUUUCGUUUUUUUACGUUGCUAAAGAGGCAGUAAAAAGCUUGCUGAAUGUCAUCAAAUUGGCAAUAUUUGUUUGGUAUUUCAUCUCAACGGAUGCAGUAAGAAUUGCCUCUCUGAUGACUGAAAUUUUUUUUUCUUUUUUUGGGCAAAGAAAGAAACAGAAUUUUGAGUUUUGAAAAGCAAAAGGAGAAAAUUGAACAGUAAGUGUGGAGGGUCAAGCAAAAUGCGCGUAACAAGCCUUCCGCUUGUUGUUUAUUCCAGUAAAGCGAUAAUAAAAUCAGAGCCCGCCACCCAUUAAUAAUUUAGCAAUUCACCAGUCACCAGUCACCAGUCACCAGUCACCAUGAAUAUAUUAAAUUGCACCUUGUAUUUGCGGGAUCCAGCAACAUUGACCCAGUGUCCGGGUAAAUACUGAAUAAAGAGGAAAAUGGAAUGUAUCCACUACGAACCUUCGCUUUGCAAGUCUUCAAACUCAUAAACCAAGAUAAAUCAAAACGUUUAUCUCUUCUAUCUCUUUUUGCCAUAUAAUUACUUUAUUUAUUGAAUUAAUUUCCAUGCUAAAAGGAAGACUUAAAACUGCACUACAAUUUUUUAUAAUCACAAUGAUAAUUCCUACUACCAUGUUAUUUUAAUAUCGUGUCAAAAUAAAUUAUAACAAAAUUUUUUUUAUAUGAACACUCUUUUUAUUUAUAAAUUUCUCGAUUUUUAAUAUUUUUUUCACUCUUUUAGUCUUAAUAUUUGUAUUUCUCUCUUCAAACUUUCUUUAUUAUUUAAUUUUUAAAUAAAAAUAUGAAAAAAAUAAAAAAAAUAUUAUAUUUAAAAAAUAAUAAAUAUUUUAUCGGUCUAAUCCAUUGACAAUGAAAGAGCACGCGAAAAAUCUCACGCAUAGAAAACUUUGUGAAAGGCAUUUGAAUGUGUUGCCACAUUUUCCAAACGAAACGAUAAGGCUUUAGCCUUAUAAUUGCAAUUAGUUUGUCUUGUAACGAAAUUAUUGCCGACAAACACCAUCAUGCUGACAAGCCGUGCAUGCACGUCCUCAAUCACCCAUGUCCUCUACUUGUCUUUUGGUGUUUACGGUGUAGUUAGGGAUGGUAGCGGGUAGGGUCUGGUACGGGUUUGACAUCACCAAACCCGCAUCUACAAAAAAUUUUAAUUACGUAAUUCAAAUUAUAAAUUUAUAACCGUUGCCUAAAAAAGCCACAUAAAAUACUUAAUUCUACAUUUUAUCAAUAUAAAUGAGAAAUGAAAAUAUCAACAUUAAAACAAAUACACAAAAUAUAUCAAUUUAACACCAAUUCUAAAAUUCAAUUACCAAAUAAAUAAGUCUAUCACAACUCGAAGUGCUUUUAAUUUAAAAUGAAAAAAGAGAAAGAGAAAAAACAAAGAGCUACAAAUCAAAGUAGCACCCAGACCUAUUUCAUAGGCUCAUUCGACACUAAGAUCUUAGAAUUAAGAUCUUCAAUUCAUUCAUUACCACUAGCACCCAUUCAACGUGGUUUUUCUAAGCAAAAUAUAAAGUACAAAAUUACAAUAAGCAUAUGAUACUCCAUGCUUUAAGUUAAAGGUCCUUAUAUAAUUUUAUGAAUAAUGAUUUAGUGAAAUUUUAUGAUUAAAGUUAAAAAUACACAAAUAUUAAAAUAAGAAUGUUGGACACUUGCACAACUAUUUGCCAAAUUUUUUCUCUAUAAAAAUUCACUUGCAACUUGCAGCAGGUUUAAAUUUAUAAUAUCAAACUUGAUUGUAGCUCGCAAAAUUUUUAGAUUUGCGAUAAUUUUGCCACCCUAAGUUUAGUUAGUAUUGUAUAUCGUGUGUUUCCAAUUGGCUCUUAUAAAAAGCCUAGAAGUUGUAUGAAUAAUGAGGGAGACAAAUAUUUCCCAAAGAUAUUAUCUUUUUCAAAUUUUUUUCUUUUCUCUAUUAUUGUAACUUCAAAUCCUUAAAAAAUUACAUAUUACAGACAUGAACACAAUGUUUUGACAUAGUGGCUUUUGGCUUGUCUAGAGAAAUUUAGGAUAGAUUUUGAUGUACUAAGGCUCUGUUUACUAUUAAGAUUUUGGAACUUUUGAGCCACACUUGAAAUUUGUUUAAUUCUAAUAGAGUUGUAGCCUUCGAUAUGUGAUUGGUAUUAAUCAAGUGUUAUGUUUACAACAGUUAAAGGCAUAUUGAAUCAAAGUCCACUUUUGAUUGAGAUUUUAAAGUAGGUUUUUAACUUGAUAGCCACUCAAGUUCAAAUAUUGGAACCACAGUGCACCUUUCACUUACUAGGCUUUAACCAAACAGACGACGUUAUACAAACUUCUAUCCAAUAAGGCAAUGCAAACAAAAGCAAGUGAAUUAAAAAUAAAUAAUUUCUCAUUAAUUUGCAACAAGUAUUAAUAAAGUGCAUGAGAAAAUAUGUCUUUUUUUAAAUGAAAAUAAAUGUGUUAAUUAGUCAAUUUAAAUGGUACGAUAUUUUGAAAUGAUAGAAGCGAUCUGGAGUUUAAAUCUUACUCUUGACGUAAUAUUUAAUAACGAAUUUGAAGAACAAUUAAAAAUUAAAAGAAAAGAAAAAAACACUUUCUUUCUUAAUGAUGGUAAUUUGUUCAGAUGAUGAAAAUUCUUAGAGUGGUAUAAUAAGUAUUUUUGAGUGUUGCCAUCGCCAAUAAUAUUUAAUUUCCUUUAUAUAGUUAUAUCUCAAGUAACAUUUAAAUAGAAGCAAGUUGGAAAUUAAAAAAAAAUGAACCAUUGAGAGAAUGAAAAACAAACAAAAAAAAAGUUAAAAAAUUGUAUCUCAAUAAAUUUACUUGAGGGCUACUCUACUGAUCUGUGAAGAGAAAACACAAAGAAUAAUGAUGUAUCUCAAUUAAUAGGACAAUUUUUGUAUUUUUCGUUUAUUCAAGAAUCACGAAACUUCAUUUAAACUUGUUAUUUCAUUGAUAAUAUAUUAACAUUGAACAAUGUAGGGGACAUUCCUUUCCAAUUAUGCCCAUAUAUUAACUAAAGGCCACCAAAAAGUUCAGGGAUACUAUAGUAAUUUAAGUCAACAAUUACUAUGCUUGAAAUCAGCCAAUCAAACUCACUUUAGAAUAAACUGAGAAAUCAAAAUCACAUUCUCCAAUUCUACGAUUUCAAUUCAUCUUCUUUCUUCAACUGAAGAAUUGGUUGUAUCUCGUUUAGAUAAAUAUAAAAUAUAAAUGAUGAGGAGACUAGAAAAGUAAAAUCAAAAGAAGAGCACGAGUUUUGUUGAAAAUGACUCUUUUUCAUCAUUGUGCCGGAGUGAAUGUAUCUACAUAUAAACUAAAGAAGCACAUUUGUUUGUAUUAGCUUUUUUAUUGUAUUUUUAAUAAUAAGUCAUUUUUCAAUGAACUUAUAUCAAUUUUUAUGAAAAUAAUAUGUGUUAGUUAGUUGAUUCAAAUGGCAAAACCUCUUGGGAUAGAGCUUGUAAUUUAUUGGCUCAUGAAUUGUCUAAAUUGACACUACCGAAGCCAAAUUAUUGUAUUUGGUUAAAAAAGCUCCUGCUCAGCUUCAACUUUAUUAUUCUAUGAUGUUUGUUAAUAAAUAACAAUUUUAUUGAAAAAAAAAGACCCCUUGAACUUAUACAAAAGAUUUGGGAUCUGAAUCUGACUUGAAUUUAGCUUGAGGUUGACAUUGUUAGCAUAAUAAUUGAAGAUAGAUUUUUUUAAAUUAAAAAUCAAAAGAUAUAUAUAUUUUUUUGGUUCACACUAGUUAGUUUUAACUCAUAGUGAGAUUUAAACAGAAGCAAAAUAAUAAAUCUUAACAUCCUGACUCAUGGAUAACAUUUACAUAAGAUAGUAAAAUCUAUUAUGUCCAAAAUAAGAGGUGUGAAGUUUGAAUUUUGCUCACAUAGGUAGUAAGAGAAUCAAAUUAUUGUUAGAUUAAAUUAAUUAAAAAAAUUAUCUGAUAUCCAAAACAGCGUAUCAACAAAAUUGAAAUAAAAGAAAAUUGAAGAGAAAAACCAUUGAGAGAACGAAAAAUUAACACAAGAUAAAUUCGAUAACUAAUUGUAUCAGUGUGCGCUAACUUCACUUAUUAAAACUUGGUUAUUUCAUUUUCAUUGAUAAUCAUUUUGACAACGAUUUUUCUUUCCAAGUAUGCCCAUGAACUAAUAAGAGAACUGCCGAAAGGGUUCGGGGAUAAUAUGGUAAUUUAAAUUAACAUUUCCUGUGCUUCAAAUCAUCAAAUCAAACUCACACUUCACAACAACAGAGAAAUCAAACUCACGGUUUCUCUCAUUUUUAAUUUAUUAUAUAAAGAUAAAUAUAUAAAAUUAAAUGGCGAGAAGACCGGACGAGGAAUACGAUUACUUGUUCAAAGUGGUAUUAAUCUAAAAACAAUAAUAUUAAAUAAAACACCUGGGAGUCGUAAUGGAAAGAAGAAUACAAUAUAUGAAACUUAUAAUGUUAUUUUUACUAUAUUAUAUUGAUACUUUGUUUUGUUAAUCAUAUAAGUCAAUCAGUAAUUAUUUAAUCAUUGGAAUUAAAACUAAUGUAUUAAUUAAAAUUCAAAAUCUAUUAUAAAAAUAGUAAAUAUUAAUAUAAAGAGAUGGACCUAUUACAAAAUACAUUCACCAAAAGUUCUAUUAUACUUAAAAUUCUCAUUCACAAAAAAAAAAAAAAAAAUAGUUGAAUACAUGUACAAAAAAAGGGGAUAAAUAAAAAAUAAUAAUAAUAAAUAAUAAAAGGAUAGUUUAUAUAAUAAAAAAUAAAUUUAUUGAAUAGAGAUGUUAAUAAUAAAGAAUAAUAGCCUAAUCAAACUCACUUUAGAAUAAACUGAGAAAUCAAAAUCACAUUCUUCGAUUCUACAAUUGAAUCUUUUUCAUCAUUUUGUUGGAGUGAAUGUAUCUACAUAUAUUGGGGACCAUAAUGGAAACCGGUAGAACCUACAAGGGCUAAAAUCAAAACAACGAACGAUAUCUCAAGGUCGCCGAAACGUAAAUAAUUAAUCUUAUCUUUCAAUUGAUUUUUGUGGAGCCAGAGACAAUUAAACCCGAACAGCAAAUAGCCAUAAAUGAUAGGACAAUUAAAUUGGAACUCUUCACAGACCCACGAUUUAAUAUCUUUAGAUUGUAACGGUUUAACCCAAAAAAAAAAUAGUAAAAUAUUUCUUAAAAAAAUGAAAAAAAAAUGUUGAAAAGAAGAACAAAAUUCUGGUCCACGUGUCAUUUCAAAAUAGGUUGCUGGCAUAAACAACCGGCCCCAUCCCGGACAGAUGUUAUUUGAGUGGUUGGUACGCAUUUCCACUUUUUUGUUUUAGAUGCAACGACUCAUGCACUAAAUAUAUAUAUAUAUAGGGAAUCCCUAUCUUACAUGCAUGUAAAAUAUAUUUUUCUCAUAUAAAUAAUAUAUGUGUAGAAUUCACGUACUGUUUAUGUAAGAGAGAUGUAUCUUACAUACAUGUAAGAUAUGAGGAUUCAUGAAUAUAAUGUUAUUAGUUUAAAUAAUGGGUGCAACUCAUGUUUUUGAAACAUUAAGAUCUUUAGCCAUUCUCUUACUAUCCCGUGGUUAUUUAAGUUACAAGAGACAGUAAAACAACAACGUCAUAUUUUAAUUACUUACACUAAAUAAAUUACUCACACUGAUGCCGCGACUGCCGCUUGCUUUUUUUCUUUUUUUUGCCCUUUUAAUUUUGACUUUUGCUUUUACUUUUUGAUUUUUGCUUUUGGUUUAUAAUAAUAAUAACUACUUUUUAAUUUAAUAUAAUAUUAAAUAAUAUUUUUAUUUUUAAUUUUACAUUAUAAUUAUUAAUAUAUAAUUUAUUAUUUAAUAUUAUUAUAUUAUGUUUUUUAUUUUUACAUUAUAAUUUAUAAAUAAAUUUAUAAUUUAUUAUAACUAAUAAUAAAUAUUUAAAUUUGAAUAAAUUUGAAUAAUAUUAAUUUAAAAUUAAUAAUAAUAUAAAAUAUUAAUACAAUUUAAAUAUAAUAUAAUAUUUAAUUUGAAUUAAUCACAAAAAAUUAAUAUAAUACAGUGUAGCACCAAACAUUGUACAUUAUUAUUAUAAUACAGUACUAAUACAACGCAACAUAAUACAAUACACCAACAUUAAAAUAAUACAAUCUAAUAUAAUACAAUACAGUGUGCGAAAUGCACCGACAUGGUAUUACUUUGUUUGUCUUGUUACUUACAGUUAUUUAAUCUGUAGACCCACUCAUGCUCCUUCUAUGUAACAUAGAUACAAUUUGAGGAAGAUUAUCAAUUUUUUUAUUAAAAAUAAUAUAUACCACUUAUUUUUUAUUAUUUUUAUAAUGUUCAACAAUUCGCUUGAGAUCAAAAAAUUAAAUGAAAAGAAGGAGUAAAUAGAUGAUUUACUUGAUGUUGUAUCUUAGAAAUAUAAAAUAUAUUUAUUUAUUAUUAAAAAUAUUUAAAAAUAAUAAAGAGUAUAUAAAAAGUAUCUUAUCCUCAACAACAAGAUCAGACGACGUCAAUUCAGCAAAAUGACUUGAAUAACUUGAACGUCCAGCAACGGUCACCUCUUGGCGCACACAUGGCAACGUGCGUAGCUUUGGCAAGAGGUCUCCCAAAAGGACGAUUAAGAAAAGAUUGCAGGACAAAUCAUGAAAAUAGUAGUACAGAUAUGCAAUGGCUAAAUUUCCUCGAUUAAGUCCAUCGCAAUCAAGUCUUAGAAAUCACACCCCUGUAUUAAUUUCCAGAAAUAUGUUUGUUCCAUAUUUAUCGUGCACGUAUAUAUUGUAUGUAUUGGGAAUAGAAAGAGUGUAUGUAAAAAAUUCUUCAUUCAUCGAUUAAAACUUAAUUUAUGUACGAGGGUUAAGUGUAGUGUUUUUAAAUUUAAAAAGGACAAGUGUCAAUCCACUGAGGCUUGACUCAAUGGCUAGAGCCACACUCCCUCACAAAGUGGUUCGAUCUCCCACAGAUGUAUUAUAGAAGUUUAAUUUAAAUUUUUUUUCUCAAAUUUUGAGUGAAGACAGUCUUUCUCCCCUAAAUAGAGUUUUUCUAAAAAUUUAAUGUUCUUCGAAUAUUUGAGAUGAUUAAAAUUUGAGCGGUGCUAUAUAAAAUAUAAUGUAAACUAAUCUAAAUAAUUAUAUAAUUAUAAAUAUAAUGAACAAUAGUCUCAUACAAAAAAAUGACAAGUGUAGUAAGCCCAUUUAAAUUAACUUAUAUUUGAGGGGAAAAUCUCUGUAUAUCAUAGUAUAUAUUAUAUAUCCAGUCGUGGGACCCAUACAUGGUUCCAUGUAAUUCGCACAGUUGAACUGGAGACACUGAUUAGUUCGUUGUCUAUUUGCCAACUUAUGUACAACUAAGUAAUUUCAUGCACCAUUUGCGCCUUAUCUAUCCAUCCUGCUUGCAUUGCAUUUUACUAAACAUACAAUGAAAUUAACCCUUGUAAUUUCGGCCUUUGCCAUAGUCGUUUUGUUUAUUAGGUUUAUGUUUAUCAACAUGAUAUGUUGUCAACCAUAAUCACAAUCAAGUUGUUAAUUAUUUUUUAAAUAAUGUGAAGGAACAAGAUUUUGGUCUUUGACUGUGGAGUUAAAAAUAUCUCACCUCAACAUACGGUGUUGUGCUCUCAUCAUCUUAACAUUAUUUGUUAAAAAUUAUGUCAAAGAGGAAAGCAGAUUCAAACAUUACUUCAAUUUUCUUUAAGAGCAUAAAAAAAUCGUUAAUAGGCUACUGUUAUUUGUUAGUACGAUUUCACAGAAGGAGGCUAGAGGAAGAUGAAGCUUUCACGUCAUGUGUGCAUCAAAGUAAGAAACAGAGCUAACGAGAGAUGGACAAGUAUUAACCACUGUUAUCAGAAAUUAAAUAUAUCAGCAUUUUGUUAGUUCUGGCCAUAUUGGAACUAUUAGCACCCUAAUUUUCUUUUGAAGCUCCUUUUCUGUCGAAACCUAUUUUAAUUUCCAAAAUAUUUUUUUUUCAUUUUUUUAGUUUCUUUCUGAUAAAAAAAAAAUCAGUUUCUUAAACAACUCCAACUACAAAUAUUGUUUUACAAAUUUUUGAAUUAUUAAAUCAUAUGUGUGUGUAUAAAUUGAAUAGAAUUAAAAAAGUGGACUCAAAUGGGUAUUGUGUAAUUUUUUUUAUAAUUAAAGAAAAGUUUAGAAUGCAAAAGAGUGUGAGAAAACAAAAAAUAUAAAUCACCUUUGAUGUAGUUGUAUGGUUGUAAAGAGUUAGAUGGAGAAAUAUAGUAUAUAAUUAAAUUUAUUUUGUUCUUUAAAACGGAUAGGUUUUAUACGAAUUUUUCAGAGGAGUGCCAAUAUUUCAACUCUAUCAUUGCUAUUAGUUUGUCUUGUAAUUCAAUCAUUGCCGACAAGUAUUAAUUGUGACUAUUAUUAUUAUUAUCGUCGUUAUUCUUAACAGCAAUGACUAGAAUUAUAAUAAUAACAAUAACAAUAACAAUAACAAUAACAAUAACGUCAAUACAAUAAUAUGGGUCCGCCUAUGUUGCCACUUAUGUAUGUUGCUACAGCUUUUGUCUUUUGUGAUCAGUUAUUGUAACAUCUCAUUGAGUCCCUUACACUCUAUUUUAUUUACAAUUUAUUUAUAAGUAUUAUGAUUUUUUUAUUUACCUACACUUUUAAAAUUUAAAUUUUCACUUCACACUAUUUUUUAUUUACCAUUUUUUAUAAGUAUUAAAGGAGUUUUCGUUUUCAACCACAAAACAAUAAUCAUCAUAACACAUUAUUAUCAAUAAAAAAAAUAAAAUACCCUUAAAUUAGUACUAAAAGAAACUCUUUUCUCUCUUGGAGGAAUCACAAUAGCUCAUCUUCCAUCACUUAUCAUCAAUAAAAUUUUCAAGGAUAUAAUCAAUCAUCUUCUUUACUAUAUCAUCUCAUAAUAAUUAAGACUUUAAUGAUAAAAGAAUUAACAAAAUAAAAAAAAAUUUCCCGUGAAUCCAUCCCUCUCCACUAUCAAUUUCUCUUCAUCAGCAACUUUUAUCAACAAUUGAAGCCACUAUUAGAACUCACCACAAAGAGAGAGUAUGGGAGGGGAAGAAGAAACGGGUAAAAAUAUAUGAAAUGUUUUCAAUUUUAUGAUACGUUUACUAAAUAAGAAUCAUAAUUAGAUAGAAUCAUAGUAAGUUGAAAUUAAAAUGAGCAGGAAUCAAAAUAAGAAAUUGUAAUUAGAAUAAAUUAUUUAUUUGAACUAUAGAAAUAGUAAUUGGAAUAAGCUAUAUUACAAUUAAUGUAUUUACUUUGUUUUAAAAUCAUAAUCGAAAUAAGUUAAGUUGUAACAAACUACCAUAAAGUACUUAAUUAAUUAUUAUCAUAAUUAUUACUUUGUAUUUUAAUUAUUGUGAUUAUUAUUAUUAAAAAAUUUAAUAAUUAUUGCUAACUAUUAUUAUUAACAAUAUAACUCAAAAAUUAUUAGUUAUUGUUAAUAUAUUAAUUAAUUAUAAAACUUUUAUCAUUAAUAAUAAUAAUAAUAAUCCAUUUAAAUAAUAAUAUUAAUUAUUAAUUAUUGUUAAUAUAUUAAUUAAUUAUAAAACUUUCAUCGUUAAUAAUAAUAAUCUAUUUAAAUAAUAAUAAUUAUUAAUUAUUGUUAAUAUAUUAAUUAAUUAUAAGCUUUUAUCGUUAAUAGUAAUAAUAAUAAUAAUCCAUUUAAGAAAAUAACAAUAAUAAUAAAAAAAUUGUCAUCAUCAUCAACGGCAACAAAAAAUGGGAAUCGGUGGCGGCAUCAUCAUCCACAACGUCGGCAUCAUCAUCAUCAUCUUGAAGACGGUCGGUAAAGACGAAGACGACGACGAGAAGGAGAGGUGGAGAUUUGCUCUUUGAAGAUGGUGAUGAGGUCGUUACCUGCAGGGGACUAAAUCAUGGACGGUGAAGACCAAUGACAACCAGCGAGCUAGAACCGAUCCUAGUGCUGUGCUUCUUCUUGGAUGCAACUAAAAAAUUCUUCCUCUUGGCUGCGAUGGAGGGUCGAAACGUUGGAUGUGUUUGUUAUUUUUUUAAUUUUGCUGGCUGUGUUUUCUAAUUAACUGUGGCGUAUUUUGAGAAUUUAAAAAGCUUGAAGGAGUAAAUUUGGUACUUUUAGGGGCUCAAUCAAAUAAAAUAGAGUGCAAAGGGUUCCAUGAAAUUUUAGAAUAAUUAAGUCACAAAAGACAAAAGCUGUUGUAACGUACAACAGUGGCAACAUAGGCGGACCCCAAUAAUAUAACAACAUAAUAAUAUUUUAAUUGGGGUCUUCCACCUGGGUAUGCAUGAUUCCUUGUGACAUGUGCCAAUUAAAUUCUGACAUACGUGCAAUAAAGACUGUAAAGUGACCGGUUAUUCCGAUUGAAUUCACAAGAGCUCUUGUUUGUGUGUUUGUGUUCCAAGUUGUGUACUCUGUGUUACGAGUUCUCUAAUUAAUCUGAUAUUAUCGCAACUGUUGCUCAAUAAUGUUACAUGCAUUAUAAUAUAUGUCACUGGUACGGUCGCUGUCUCAAGUGGUAAACAUUAAGGCACAAAUUUAGAAUGAAAAGUUUCCCAGUAAAAUAAGUUAUUUAAUUAAUUAAAUAAGAAUAAAAUGAAUUUGUGAAAGAAAUUUAAAUUUAAUUUUGAAUUAUUUUGACCAAAAUUUAAGUUUCUUUUUAAUUUGUUUAAGAAAGUGCGUUGUAAUUAUCUUGUUUUAAUUGGAAAAUCAAUGAAAAAAUUAUGUAACAGGAAACAAAAAAAAAAAAAACAAAACAAAACGGUUUGUUUUGGAUGGAGGCCAUAGAUUCCAAUAUUUCCUUCACGAAAACUACAAAAAAUUAUCAAAGGCAUCAAUUUCUACACUCUCACCGAGCAAAUACUCUCAACCCAGAAGAAAGUGUAUAAACCAACCCCAAUUAGUCCAUCAAUGUCGUCAACCUCAUACAACACAAAAAAAUAUGUGUCCAUUAAACCGCCAUCUUGCCAUCUCGUUGUAGUAUUUUGCUGUUCAAAUCUAGUUAUUAAUUGGGGAAAAUGGGGACCAAUCUGCAAGUCUUUAAAAUAGAAAGAAACUUUAAUUGAGCACUAUGUUCACAGUGGUGGACCCAGCGGCAGUAAUCUUUAAGGUGGAGCUAUUUAUACUUUAAAAAUUAUUUUAAACACUCUAAUUUUAAUAAGAAUAUGUAUUGCAAAAAUACUUAUCAUAUAAGUUACUGUUAAGGACAAUAUAUUAUAAGUCAACAUUAUAUAAUUACUUUGAACACUUAUAUAGCACAAUCCUUAUUCAAUUUAUUAUUCUCAUGACUUAAAUAUAAAAAAUUUUAUUUUCAACAUCUUAAUUAAUAUGUAGGUGAAUAAUAAGGAAAUUAACUUUGAGAAAAAAAAUUAAAUACAAAAUAUGUGUAAUACUUUUAAAAAAUAAAAUAAAACAACAGUAUUGCACAAGAUUUUUUUUUGGGGGGGGGGGGGGGGGCUUUGGCCAUUCUUCUUCUUCUCCUUCUCUCUCUCUCUUUUUUUUGGGUAGUAUUUAUGGAACAUUUUCUAUAGUUAUGUUCUCAUCGCAAGUUAUUUUGGGUGCAAAAUUCAAUAUUGAAAAUAAAUUAAAUAAAAAAUUAGUAACUAAAAUUAUGUUAAAUUAUUUUUUUACAACUUAAUUUUUAAUUAUAUUAUUGUGAGUAUAUGCUAAAUCUCUUAAAAAUAGAGUGUUGAAUAAUUUUAUUAGUUUUUUAAAUAAAUAAAGCUAAGUAACUUAAAAAGUUUAAGUAAGGAUAUUUUUGAAUUUUAAACAGUGUACAAAGUAAAAUUUAAUUUUUUUUAUAAUUAAGCUACGAGCGUGUAAAUUAAUAGAGUGCUCAAAAUAAUAUUUAGAGUGCUAAUAGUCAUAUCCUAAUAUUUAUCAUCACAUUAUUUUCCAUAAAAAGUUUACAACUACCUCUUUAUUGGAUAAUUUUGUUCCCUCUCUUACCUUAUGUUCCCCUACAUUCUCAUUUCUGCAUCACUAUUUAAAUUGUAAUCAUAACGUUAAUCUUUCGUGUCCUUUCGUUUUUUUCGAGUUUACUUUUGCUUUUUUUUUUUUUUACGUUUCUCCGGAAUUCACUUCAACAUCACUGGCGCGUUUUCUUCUUUCUCACUGCAACAUCAACUGGGCCACCACCUCUUGCCUCAAUAUACGUUGUGAUCUCAUCAUCUUGACAUUAUUUGUUAAAAAUUAUGUCAAAGAGGGAAAGCAUAUUCAAACAUUACUUCAAUUUUCUUUAAGAGCAUAAAAAAAUCGUUAAUAGGCUACUGUUAUUUGUUAGUACGAUUUCACAAAAGGAAGCUAGAGGAAGAUGAAGCUUUCAAGUCAUGUGUGCAUCAAAGUAAGAAACAGAGCUAAUGGGAAAUUUUCAUAAGAGUGCCAAUAUUUCAACUCUUUUUCAAAUGAAGUGAUGUCCUGGAAUAAAGGACUUGACUAGCUUACAGAUUCUGUAAGCUACAGACUGCAGCAUCAGCCGUUGGAUGUGGAGUGAGAAACUAAACAAUAGAAAAUCGGAUGGUGGGAUGACGGGAGAUGUUUGUUACAGAAUCUGUACCAUAGACAGGUCCUGGAAUAAAAUCACUACUCUAUCAUUGCUAUUAGUUUGUCUUGUAAUUCAAUCAUUGCCGACAAGUAUUAAUUGUGAAUAUUAUUAUUUUAAAAAUAUUAUUAUUAUUAUCGUCGUUAUUCUUAACAGCAAUGACUAGAAUUAUAAUAAUAACAAUAACGUUAAUACAAUAAUAUUACAACAUAAUAAUAUUUUAAUUGAGAGGAUAAGAAUGAAAUUAUGAAAUUUAGGUUGGGUAAAAAUGGUGAGUAUGAGGAAAUUAAUUUACCAUUUUUUAAGCUAAACAAUUUAUAAAUUCCACAUAUUUCAUUUUUAUUUCUCUUAUAUUUUAACAAAUAAACACUAUCAAUCGUUUUAAUAUUUUAAUUAAUAAACACGGCAUUAACUACGGAACUAAAAGAUCCCCCCAAAAAAAAAAAAACAGAGACGCGUGUAUGUAUUGCUUGUGACAAAUCUCACCCAUGGAAAACUUUGUGAAAGGCAUUUGAAUGUGUGGCCACAUUUAAUGAACGAAACGUUAACUUUAAAAGAAAGUAUGUACUGUGUUAAUUAUUAGGAUUACCCAAUAACCCGCUUAAUAUCUAUAUAUUAAACAAAAGUUACAUUAAAUAUUUAUACUUUGUCAUACAUAUGUAUGCACAUACAUACAUACAUACAUACAUACAUCCAAACAUACAUACAUAAUUUAUCAAUAUUAUAAAAUAUACAUAUCUACUAAAAUAUUACACACACUAUUGAGGUUUUAAUUAUAUGUAUGUAAAUAAUAUUAUAUAUCAAUAUUAUAAAAUAUACAUGUCUACCAAUAUUUUAUACAUUUACGCUAUUAAAGCUCUAAAUGUAUUUAAAAUUUUAUAAAUAAAAUAUUGUGUCUAUAUUCAUCUUUUUAAAGAAUUAAAAAAAUCAUCUCUAAUAUUUGAGUUUUGAUGACAAGAAUCUGUAAAUUAUUUUAAAAUAGAAAAUAUAAUCGGGUCAUUGAUCGGGUAAAUGGGUCAAGAAUUUUAACCCUAAUCCGACACGAAAAAAAAUCGUGUUGACCCGGACCCGACCCAUUUAAUAAUCGUGUUAAAUUCGAUGACCCAUACUUAUUUAUUGGUGUCAUGUUCGUAUCGAGUAAUCGGAUCGUGUCAAAUUUUACCAGCUCUAACUAUAGUGAUUCCACUUAAAAAUGAAAGGGGAGGCGACGAAAAGGUGAUAAAAAGCGGUAUUGUGUUCUUUUUUUUUUUAAUAUAAAUUUACUGGAAUGAUGAAAUAUUUAAUUGAAUAAUAUUAAAAAAGAGAAAAGGAGAGAGAAUUUUGAGCUCUCUCUACCGAGCCCACUCCCUCUCUUCUUUUUCAACGCAUUUUCUCUCGUCUUUAUCUCUCUUUAGCAUUUUUCUAUUUAAUUACGUGAAAUUGACUCUAAGAUAGACCGACGUUUGCUUUCAUAAUGGAAAGUAGAAAGUCGAAAAGAAACCACCCAUGCCAUGCGUGUGGACCAUUACUCUCAUUUGGAGGCUAUCAUAAGUGAGCAAGUACAAAUUAUGUUACUGUGGGGUCUCACUUAAAUGAACUCAUCCAUCGUGCGCUGGUCCAAUCCUUGGCAACAUCCCAUGUGACUUUUUCGGUUUUCCCCCCACUUUUCUUCACAAGGGUAGUUCCGAAUUUUCACUUCCCCUCAAUUCCAAUUCAGUGGCGAAAUUAGAUUUUCAUUUCAAGUUUUCAACCCAGGGCCAAGCUAUAAUAAUAUACUUCAAUAAUUUGUAUUCGUCGGAAGUUCGGAACCAAUGCUAAACUUUUUUAGUUAUAUAUAUAUAUAUAUAUAUAUUGUAAGAGGCUAAUAUGAACAUUACUAUUGUUAUAAGAGUAUAGAAAACGACGAAUAUUACUUAUUUUUUUUGUAGUUAAUAAGAAUUAUUUAAAAUUAUCCAAGCUCAAAAUUUAGAAUCAUGAGAGUGUGACUUGUAAGUUUCAAAGAAGCAUGUGUAAAUAUAUGCAUUAUCGAUGCCCAAUUAAGGGUGGGCAUUAAGAUCGGGUUAACCCGAACCGAACUUAAAAUUUAUUUUGGAUUCAAUUUGGUUAUGGUUGAAGCUUUCAACUGAGUUCAAAACUUAAAAAUGAUUGGGUUGUAUUUCUGUUCGAAUUUAACCCCAAAAGACUAAUCAAUCCAAUCGAGUUAAGUAAGCAAAUUAAGAAAAAAAAUCCCAAAAAUUAAAACUAACCCUAACUAAAAUAUUCGACGGCGGCCUCCUCGUUUUCUUUUCUUCUUCCUCCUCUCGCUCACCCCUAAUGCCCUUCAUGGAAAUCCAACAGCUCCAAACGCGUUUCAGCCGCUCGCACGUGUGAGAAAUUUUCCUUCUCAUAGGGUUAUUCGUUUCCUUCGUUUGCAUGCUAGCAGAAAAUUCAGGCCGAGGAUUUUUCCGGGCCUAGCCCAACUAUAAGCUCUCCCAAAACCCAAUCAUAAGUUCAAAACGUUUAGCGUUUGCUAUUACUAUAAUUUUUUUAACCAAUUUUCACAUUCAUCAACAUAGGCUGACAGAUUUUGUAGAAAAUAAAAUUAAAUAAAAAUACAAGCUCGCGAAAUUCCUUUGCCGAGCAUGAGUGAAGAAAAAUUAAAAAUAAAUAAUUUCCCAUUAAUUUGCAACAAGUAGUAAUAAAGUAAAUAACUCUUUUCAUCAUUUUGCCAGAGCGAAUGUAUCUACAUAUAAACUAAAGAAGCACAUUUGUUUGUAUUAGCUUUUUUAUUGUAUUUUUAAUAAUAAGUCAUUUGUCAAUGGACUUAUAUCAAUUUUUACGAAAAUAAUAGGUGUUAGUUAGAUUAUUCAAAUGGCAAAACCUCUUGGGAUAGAGCUUGUAAUGUAGUGGCUCAUGAAUUGUCUAAAUUGACACUACCGAAUUAUUGUAUUUGGUUAAAAAAGCUCCUACUCUGCUUCAACUUUAGUAUCCUAUGAUGUUUAUUAAUAAAUAACAAUUUUAUUGAAAAAAAGACCUCUUGAAAUGAUACAAAAGAUUUGGGAUAUGAAUCUCACUCGAAUUUAGCUUGAGGUUGGCAUUGUUAGCAUAAUAUUUGAAGAUAGAUUUUUUUUAAAUUAAAAAUCAAAAGAUUUUUUUUUUUUUGGGGUUCAUACUAGUUAGUUUUAACUCAUAGUGAGAUUUAAACAAAAACGGAAUAAUAAAUCUUGAUAUCCUGACUCAUGGAUAACGUAUAGAUAAGAUAGUAAAAUUUAUUGUGUCGAAAAUAAGAGGUCUGAAGUUUGAAUUUCGCUCACAUAGGUAGUAAGAGAAUCAAAUUAUUGAUAGAUUAAAUUAAUUAAAAAAAUUUCUGAUAUCCAAAACAACAUAUCAACAAAAUUGAAAUAAAAGAAAAUUGAAGAGAAAAACCAUUGAGAGAACGAAAAAUUAACACAAGAAAAUUUCUGUAACUAAUUGUAUCAGUGUGCGCCAACUUCACUUAUUAAAACAUGGUUAUUUCAUUUUCAUGGAUAAUCAUUUUGACACCGGUCAAAUUUAAAAGUUUUAAAAAAUAUGGGCGAUUUUUCUUUCCAGCUAUUCCCAUUAACUAAUAAAAGAACCGUCGAAAGGGUUCGGGGAUAAUAUAGUAAUUUAAACUAACAGUUUCUGUGCUUCAAAUUUAUAUAUAUAUAUAAAGUUGUGAUUACAAGAGGUGAUGUGGCAUCACUAUUUCUCAUCUUCUCAUAUUCUCUAUUAUCUAAUAAAUUGGUUGAAAUUAAAAAAUAAUUACAUUACAAAAUAUUAAAAAUAGAAAAUAAUUAUUAGAUUAUAAAUGAUUACAUGUCUUUUCAUCUUUCUAUUUAAAUUCAACAAUAUGUAACCAUUAAUAAUAAUUAAUUAUAAGUCUUAAAACAUUCAUUUAUUUUAUUAUGCCAACAAUUAAAUUUUAGUGGCUUAAAAUACAUCAAUUAAUUAAUAUAGGAAGGAAGAGAGGUUCUUUCAUCUUCCCUCAAUAAUGCCACUAGGGUCUAAGUUUAAUUUUAAUAAUUUUAAUGUCUCUUCCUCUUUCUAUUUAAAUCCAACAAUGUGUAACCAUUAAUAAUAAUUAAUUAUAAGUCUUUUGAAACAUUCAUUUAUUUUAUUAUGCUAGCAAUUAAACUUUAGUGGCUUAAAAUACAUCAAUUAAUUAACAUAGGAAAAGAGGUUCUUUCAUCUUCCUUCAACAAUCCUAAUUUUAAUGCCAUAAUCCCAUAUUUAAUUAUGCAAUCUUUUAUUUAGUGCUUUUUGACUUCUUCAAAUUUUAUUAUGCUAGCAAUUAAACUUUAGUGGCUUAAAAUACAUUAAUUAAUUAACAUAGGAAGAUAAGUUCUUUUAUCUUCCCUCAACAAUGCCACUAGGGCCUAAUUCUUCUUAUUCUAAAUUUAAAUUUCAUUUGCUUGCUAUCAUCAGCAACACAAGUCAAUUAUGAUGCAACUGCCAUUAUAAUUAAUGGAGAACGACGAGUUAUCUUCUCUGGUGCAGUUCACUAUAUCCUCGCAGCACUCCACAAGUACUACAUGCAAAUAAUUAAUUUACAAUUUCUGAAAUCACUUGCACUUUCACAUUUUCUUCUUCUUUUAACCAAAAAAAAAAAAGGCUACUUUGCUGCGAAAAUAUUAUCUUAAUUUUUUUUCCUAACAAGCCAAACAUGAUCCCACAUUCAAAACGGUGCGCUUUCAUGUUUAGGAAAAAUCAUGGGCAAUAUUUUUGGAUCAAAUAGCAUUGUUAUUUUUUAAAUAUGCAAAUUUUGAUAUGAUUUAUUUCUAUAUGCGUUGUAUUUGUGCAGAUGUGGCCAGAUCUUAUACAGAAGGCAAAGGGUGGACGGCUCGAUGCAAUUGAAACUUAUAUUUUGUGGAAUGCUCAUGAGUCUCAGCGUCGCCAGGUGUCAACUAUUAUUAUUAUUAUUAUGUGCGAUAUUUAUUAUUAUUGAAAUAGACAUACAAAAUUAAUUUAUUUAAUCUUUCUUUUAAGAAGAGAUCAGUACGAUUUCUCAAGAAAUUUAAAUUUUAUCAAAUUUUUAAUUUUUAAUUUGAUAUUUUCAAAGCCGCGCUAAGCGCGGUUAUAUUUUCUAAUCAUCAAAUCAAACUCACACCUCACAAAAGCAGAGAAAUCAAACGGUUUCCGACUUUACGCUUUAAAUUCAGCUUCAUUUCUUCAACUGAAGAAUCGGUCGUCUCUCAUUUUUUAUUUAUUAUAUAAAGAGAAAUAUAUAAAUUUAAAUGGCGAGAAGAGCGGACGAGGAAUACGAUUACUUGUUCAAAGUGGUAUUAAUCGGCGAUUCGGGAGUCGGCAAAUCGAACUUACUCUCCCGAUUUUCUGGUAACGAGUUCUGUUUGGAGUCCAAAUCCACUAUUGGCGUCGAAUUCACCACCCGCACUCUUCAAGUAACUAACUUUUCCUCUUUCACUUCUCUUCAUUUUUAUUAGUUAAUUAAGAUCCAGUUAAUGUAAUUAAUUUUAUUUAAUCUUUUAAUUAAAGUUCUAGAUUAGGCUAACUUAGAUUCAUGUCAAGUUGAAGUGCUUUACUUUCGAUCUCUUUUUCGUCCUAUGUUUAUUUGUACUUACUAUUACUUUGUUUUUGGGUUUAAAUUUUCGUUUUUGAAGUGUUUACUGAAUAAAUUUCUGAGCUUUAUUUGUGUAUGAUAAUUGAUUUGUGAUUUUAAUUUUGUGACUUUUUUUUUUUUGGAAUUUAAAUUUGAAUGCUUUUUAAGUUGAAUCUGAAUGUGUUGGGCUGCAAUUUAAUUAAGUCAUCUGUGAGCGCCAAAUUGUGAUAGCUAUAUAUUGGGGUGAAAAUUUGGGAUUUAAAGUUAUGUAUUUAAGAUGCAGUUAAUUCGCAAGUGAAAAUUAUGGGCCGGCAGAUUUUGUCAUUGGAAGACUGUUCUCCACAUGUUGAAGUUGGAAGACUGUUCUCAUUGAAUUUAUGUUAAAAAGCUAUGCGCGCAUUAAGUUAGUGCGAGAAACUGCUGAAGCAUAUGUCAGCUGUGUGUUUGGAGCUGAGUAUUCUUCAUUCCAAAUUUUUGGUUUUGGUUGACCUCCACCAUGACUCAACCCACUUGAGUUAAAAUCCCUAGAGUUACAUUCUACCCAUGAUAUUUGAGAUCAGGUCACCGUAUUUUAAUACUUCUCUGGAAAACAAAUAAAUAUGUUAAAUCAGGUAGGAAAAAGAAAAAGUUAAUUAUUGAGUUGUAAUGGUGCAACUAAUGUUUUGAAAAGAUGGGGCACAGGUUACAAAAUUUUUUUGAGUUUUGGAUUAAAGGAACAAAAUUAUUGAUGUCUAGCUCACAAUACUUGAAGUCACUCUGUGCUUCAUCAUGUAAAAUGGAUUGAAUUGCUGUAAGAUCAGGUCAAAUUAAAAUGUUUAAACUCAUUUAUAAGAAAUGAAUUCUCAAUUGGACUAGUCUUUCACAGAAACUGAUAUCACAGAAGUUUUGAGUCAGAUGCAUCCAACCAAAGCCCCUGGCCCAAAUGGUCUCCCAGCAGUAUUUUUCCAAAAGCUUUGGAAUUCAGCAAGCAAAGGAGUUAUAGCCACUUGUCUGCAUAUCCUCAAUGAUGGAGGUAAUAUUGCUCCUUUGGAUCAUACAUACAUUGCUUUAAUUCCCAAAAUAGCAAAGCCUAGGACUGUGAUGGAGUAUAGACUAAUCAGCUUAUGUAAUGUAAUUUAUAAGAUCAUUGCAAAGACUAUAGUGAAUAGGGUGAAGCUAAUCUUAGAUCAUGUUAUUUCACCAACUCAAAGUGCUUUCAUGCCAAAUAGGCUCAUAACUAAUAAUAUAAUUAUUGGGUAUGUGUGUCUUUAUAAGAUUCAGCAUUGCAAAAACAAAAAGCAUGGUCUAGUGGCUUUGAAAUUAGACAUUAGCAAAGCAUAUGACAUAGUAGAGUGGGAGUUUGUAAGAUGCACUAUGGAAAGGUUGGGUUUUUCUCACAAAUGGGUGGAACUGGUCAUGAGAUGCAUAUCUGCACCAUCUUUUUCUAUGCUGAUCAAUGGGGUAGCAAAAGGCCUUAUCCAGCCUCAAAGAGGCUUAAGACAAGGCUGCCCACUCUCUCUAUAUUUGUUCAUUAUUUGUGCUGAGGUUUUCACAAAUAUUUUGAAGCAAGUUGAAUUGAACCAGCUGAUUCAUGGAUUAAAAUUCAAUAGGGACCUGCCUAUUACUCAUCUUCUGUUUGCAGAUGAUAGUUUGGUUUUCACAAGAGCCACUAAAGAAGAUUGUACGAACCUGAAGUAACUCUUUGAUUGUUAUGCUGCUGCCUCAGGCCAGAUUUUUAAUUUUGAAAAGUCCUCCAUGUUCUUCAGCGAUAAUCCCAAGCAAGAGCAGAUAGCUACAAUUAAGGAUAUAUUUCAACUUCAAGUGGUUUCAAGACAUGAAAGGUAUCUUGGACUACCUUCAAUGGUGGGAAGAAAUAAGACCAGCUUCUUAAACGAUAUCAAGCUUAGAAUUAUAAACAAAAUCUCCAAUUGGCAAGCAAAAUUUUUCUCAUGUGGAGGGAAGGAGAUACUCAUAAAGGUAGUAGCUCAAGCAGUGCCUGCUUACGCCAUGAGUAUUUUUAAACUUCCUUUAGGGCUAUGUGAGGAUAUACAGAAGGCCAUUGCUGGGUUUUGGUGGAGAAGUUCAAGGAAGCAUAUGUCUAUUCACUGGUCCAAGUGGGAAAGAAUGUGUCAAGCUAAGAAGAGGGUUGGCUUGGGUUUCUGAGACUUGUCUAGUUUCAACCAAGUGCUUGUGGCAAAACAGAGUUGGAGGAUCAUUCAAGCGCCAAAAUCUCUCAUAGCUAAGGUGAUGGAGGCAAGAUAUUUCAAACAUUCGGAUUUUAUGGAGGCACAAAUUGGCUCAAACCCUUCUUAUAUGUGGAGGAGCAUCCUGUGGGGGUGAGAUGUUAUUCAUAAGGGUCUUAGAUGAAGAAUCAGAGAUGGAAAGUAGGUGAAAGUGUAUCAAAGUGACUGGUUACCAAGACCUGUAACGUUCAAACCAAUAUCUCCUACAAGUCUCCCUUUGGAGACUAUGGUUUCAGAGUUGAUUGAUCAAGACCACUACUGGAAAGAUCUUGUAAUAAGACAACAUUUUCAUCAAGAAGAUGCUGCCCAGAUACUUAAGAUCCCUCUGCCAAGACAACCAAGACCAGACCAAGUUUUGUGGCAUUGCGACAAAAAGGGUUACUACUCAGUCAAGAGUGGGUAUCAACUAGCUCUACAAAUGAAGUUUCCAACCAAGCCUAGCAGUUCAUAGGAAGGCAAAAGUGCAUGGAACUCAAUUUGGUAUUUGUCAAUUCCAGAGAAAGUAAAGAUAUUUAUGUGGCUGGCUGCAUAUGACAUGCUGCCCACAGCAGAGAAUUUAUGGAAGAAAAUAAUAUUACAAGCCCCCUGGUGUCAGAGAUGCAGGAGUUAUGGAGAGUCUAUCUUCCACACAUUGUUUGAAAGUAAAGCCUUGCGGAAAAUUUGGAAGCUCACAUCUUUUAAAGAUAAAGUGAAAGCCCCAAAAUGUAAAGAUGUCCUAAGCUUGCUGUUGGCUUUGGCUGAUCGACGAAGCAAGACUGAAAUGGAGCUGAUAGUUGUUUUGUGCUGGAGCAUAUGGCACUCAAGGAAUCUUUUUAUUUUCAAAAGCAGAAAUGAAGAUUCCCAAUUAUCAGUAGUUGGAGCUGAGGCAAUUGUUAAGUCUUAUAAAAGAAUUCAAAUGCCACAGAUGCAAGCAAUAUCAGAUCAAAGUUCUGCAUCCCAGAAGUAUUGGAAGUGUCCCCCUGCAAGUUGGUUCAAGGUGAAUGUUGAUGCAGCUAUAAAGAUAGACCAACAAAGAGUAAGUCUGGGCAUUGUAAUCAAAAAUUCAGAAGGUAAACUUAUAGCAGCAACCUUAAAGCCAACGAAAUGGCUUGAUAAAGUGGAUCUGAAGCAACUAAGUUUGGGCUGGAAGUAGCUGAAAACGCUGGAUGGUUACCUUUGAUUGUUGAGAUUGAUUCACAGGUAGUAGUAGAUUUAGUCUUAGGUAGAAAAAUCACAAAGGCUGAGAUUUUUGGGUUUGUAUCCAAGGUCCAAGAGAUGAUGAAGAGAUUAAAACAUGUCAAGUUACAACACACACCAAGAACUUGUAAUGGUUUUACUCACACACUUGCUAAGUUAGUUUUAGACUAUUUUGAUUAUCUGAUUUUGUACUAUGGGUGAAUAACAUACCAGCCCAUCUUUUGUAUCUAUUCACAAAAUUGAAUGAUUGAAAAUGAUACUUUGAUUUCAAAAAAAAUAAAAUACAAAGAGCUAAUUAUAAAUACAUAAUCCAAGAAAACAGUAAUAAUAAUUUAUCUCGUAAACAAAAUUAAAUAAUAGCAAUAAUAAGUGGAUAAAGCUAAGUUCGAGAGGUGAGAUAGGAAAUUCUCCCGCACGACACAGCACAAACAAACUUUCCCUUUCAUUUUCUUUUCUCUUUCUCGCUAUCCAAACAGAGCAAAAGGACCGUCGCAAGAUUCUUCACUUCCAUCCAAAAUCACGAGCAACGAAUAGCGAGCCUCCCUGUUUCCUUCCUUUUUUUGAUAUUAACAUUGUUAACAUCUGCUCAUUUUCAUUUGACAAUACUUCAAUUUUUUUUUUUUUUGCCUUUUCAUAUUUUUUUGGUUGAAGCGAUUAUCUGUUCAAGCUGUUGCUUAUCGGAGACUCGUCAGUCGGAAAGUCCUGCCUGCUGCUCCGAUUUGCUGUCUGUUGACUUUUCCUUUCCAUUUUUAUUUUCUUUUUUUUUUAUAUUAAUUACUUUCUAUUUUAGCUUUUUGUUCUCUGAAUUUGUGUUAUUAAAAUGAUAAUUUAGAUGAUAAAUAAUUAUUAUUCUUGUAAAUUUCAGUUUUCAUUACAUUAAAUAAUGUAAUUUUUUUUUCAAUUUUUCAGGAUGAUUCUUAUGUCACAGCUACAUCAGUACCAUUGGAGUUGAUUUUGUAAGUCUCUCUUCUAUAUAUAUGUAAUUAUGUGUAUAAGUUAUAAUAUGAGUCUCUGUACGUGUAUGUAUGUAUGUGUAUGCAUAUGUGGAAAGAAAUGUUGGCAGACUUCGGCAUUUUACUUUUUUUUUUUUAAAGGGAAAUUAUCACCGGUAUACCCUUAAAUGUCACCGGUAUCAAACGUACUACAACACUUUUCGCUUAUAUCACUCGUAUACCCUAAGUUGACAAAAGAGUUCUGGCGUCCACCUUUCCGUUUACUACCGUUAAGAACUUAACAGAAUUUGAGCAAAAUGACUAUUUUACCCUUUAAACUAAAAUGAGGUAAAAAAACAAUUUUGCCUUGAAAAUUAAUGUAAAUUUUCAAUACACAAAAUUUUUUUAUUUUGUUAUUAACAAUACAUUUUUUUAUUAAAAAAAUAUGAAUUAUUAAUGGUAUAUAUUAUUAACAAUUAUCCAUAAAAAACUUCAUCUUAUACCAUAAAACAUUAUUAACAACAUAUUAUUUAUAAUUAUACAUAUUAUAACAUAAAAAAUUCAAGUUGGAUCUUGGAGGAGUAGAUCUUUAAUAAUUUAGGUUAAAUUUUGGAGGAGUAGAUUUGGUUGUAAAGUAGUUUUUUUUUUUUAGCAAUUAUUAACAAUUAUCUGAUAAAUGGGAUGACAUGUCAUUUUUAUCAAAAUAUAUCAUAUGACAUGUCGUUUUUUACUAUAUAAAUGGGAUGACAUGUCGUUUUUAAAAAAAGACUAGAUUACCCUUAUGAUGUCAGCGCUCGCAAACGGCAGUUAACGGAUCGGUGGACGGCAGAAGUGUUUUGUCAACUUAGGGUAUACGAGUGACACACUUGAAAAGUGUUGUAGCACGUUUGAUACUGGUGUCAUUUAAGGGUAUAUGACUGAUAAUUUCCCUUUUUUAAAUUUUGGCAGAAAAUAAGAACUGUGGAGCUGGAUGGGAAGACGAUCAAACUGCUGAUUGUGAGUCAAAAUUUCCUUUUAUCUUGUAUUGGGAGAAAUUCAAUUUGUCUUAUUUAGUGAAGGUUAUGUUCAAGAACCUUGCCUUAUUUUCUUUAUUUGAAGAGUGAUAAGUUGAAAUGAGUGUAUUUUUCUUAUAAACAUCAUUUAGGUAAUGUCUGAUGUUUGAUUGUUUUUCAUCUGUUUAGUGGGACGCUGCUGGACAGGAGCGAUUCAGGACUAUAACUAGCAGUUAUUACCGAGGAGCCCAUGGAAUCAUAGUAAGAAGCCUUCCUGCUUCUUGGUUUAAAUCAGAAAGUUUGUGAUUUACAUGUGACAUCUUAACAACGUUGUAUGUGUUUAUUAACUUAUUUUUCAUCUUUCAUUACGCAGUACAUUUUCCAAUAAAUCUGUAUACAAGAUGAUGUAGUCCAAGAAUGGGAGUGAUAAUAUGAUGCAAAUUGUCUAAUAAAUUCUUAUGACAUAUGAUGUUGUCGGAAGUAAAAGUCUUGCAAUGCUGUAUUCUCUUUUAAGAAAGAAUAAGUGGUAAUUUUGUUUUUCCAAUUUUUUAAUUGAGCAACUGUGUGAGAUUAAUUAAAUGUGUUGGGAUUUCAACAGAUUGUCUAUGAUGUAACGGAGAUGGAGAGCUUCAAUAAUGUCGAGCAGUGGUUGAAUAAGAUUGACAGAUACGCUAAUGACAGUGUAUGCAAGCUUCUAGUUGGGAACAAAUGCGAUUUAGUUGAGAACAAGGUUGUGGACACAUAGACAGCCAAGGUAUGUUCGUGAGUUCUGUCGCCUGAACUUUGAAUAUAAUUUUAAACUCUUCUCAAGUGCAUUUGCUUGAUAAGUUUCUGCAUACCCAGGACACUUAAACUUUGGACAGUCUGUAUCUCGAGCUGGAAUCUUUUUUGUCAAUACGACUUGUUAAAAUAAGGGUUAUUAUCGUUUGAAUCCUUCAAGAAUUGCAAUAAAUCUAAAGUCAAUUAAAAAUAUGAUUUCAUCAUUUUACUGUUAUAUCUAGACAAAAUCCAUUAUUUUACUACAUUUUAUUAGCACCGAUAGUUGACCUAUUGGCUGACUGAUAAAAUAUCAAUUUUGUACUUUAUAUUAAUUCUUUUUUGGUUAGAAAAUAACACACAAAGUAUUACAAUAUUAUAAAUUCAAAAUAGAAAGUAGUUACAAAUAAUUCCUAUUAGCCUAUGAAUAUAAUAUUUGAUACCUCUAUUUGUGUAAUUUUUUUUAAAGGGUGAAAUUGGUAUUUUCUUUGUACUAACGGAAAUGUAGUAAAAUGAUAAGUUUUGUAAAGAUAUAGUAGUAAAAUGAUAGACUAAAAUACUUCUGUAGUUGUUUGAUAUAUUGUAAUUCUUAAAGUAGUCAAUUGAUAAUAUCUCCUAAAAUAAGUGUUUGUAAUAUUUUCUCAUUUUAAUGCAACUGAUUGUUUAAUAAAAUUGUAUUUCUUUGUUAAUCUUUUAUCAUGUGCAUGCUCAGUGAGAAUUUGACUUACUAGCACACAAGUUUGACUCUUCAUGUAAAUGUCCCUUGUAUCAUAUCCUUCAGUGUUGAGUGUGUUUCCAAUAAAACUGAGUAGGGGAAUCCUUAAAUACCUUUUCCCUUUUUCCAAGGGCCGUGCCAAAUUGCUCUAAGUGAUUAUCAAUGGAUAAUGAAAAUAAAAUUUUUAUUAAAGCAAUUUUUUCCUUAAAUGGUGGCUAAUAGUACCCCUUUUUUGGAAAAGAAAGUCAAAACAUGCCCAAAGAGAAUCAUUUACUUUCCUCUAAUGUAUUUUCUAAUUUGUUUCGAGCCUUGAAUGUUAACCUCUGUAAUUCAAUUUGAAACUUGCCACCCUUAGUGCUUCACUCAAAUGGUUGGUUAGGGUGAGAUCUUUAUCAUUUUCCUGGUCUCUUUCCAAGGUUAUCUAAAGGGAUUUGGCAGUCUGAUUCUUUAGGGAAUAUCAUUGCAUAAGAUAUUGUUUGUCAAUGAAUAAUUUCUAUUAAUUAGUUAUCUAUAUAAAUUGGUAAAUUUUAACUGCAUAAUUUGCAUGCAAUAAGAUUUUAUAAGAAUCUUGUUUUCAACUCAUGACUUAGACUAAUGUGAUAUGUUGAGCAUUAAGCUACAAGAUCUGCACAUCAAAGUGCUUCACGAUGUUAAGGAGAAAGCAUCUUUUUCUGCUUCUUCAUGUGAUUUAAAGUUUCCAAGGUACUUAUCCUAUAAAAUAUCUUUCAAGACUUUGGAAAUGCUUUUAUGUAUGACUGAGAGAAACUUGUUGGGUUGGUUUUUAGCAACGGACGGAGUUAUGGACUUUGUGCUGACUUGUUAUUGAUUAAGACAGUACAUCGGCUGAUCUAUUGGCAUCAAGCAGCAGAUGCAGAAAUUAUGGGUGGCAUAUCAUUGUAUCUAAGAAUAUUUAUCUCCGAGUGAAAUGCAGGCAUUUGCAGAUGAACUGUGGAUUCUUUUUCUGGAGACGAGUGCCAAAGAUGCAAUCAAUGUGGAGCAGGCUUUCUUGACCAUGGCUGGCGAGAUUAAGAAAAAGUAAAAUCACUUGACUCUUUCCUUCUUGCCUUGUGAUUGAUUCUGUGAUCCAUUGCCUAUUUGCAAAUGCUGACUGUUCUUAUUCAACAAUCACCAUUAUUGCUGGUUAUAUGCACGGUGAUGAAAAUUCUGCAAUGAGUAACUUUUUACCUAAUGUUUUCUGUUGGAACAAAUUACUCUGGUAGAAAAGCCCUACAGGGUUUGAGAAAACCCAUGAUGUGACGAUUGUGAGCAUUUUAGACACCGUGUAUGGGUUUAUUUAUGACUAUAAAAUGGUAAGAUUGUUUCUAGUUUUGGUUUGUAGUUCAUAAAAGGAUUCAAAAUUUGACAUCUGUCUAAAUCAGAUUAAUAACAUGAUAAUGUACAUAUGCAAGAUGUGAGGAAUUGUUUUAACUCACCCCUAAACUUUAAGAAAUUGAAACAUUAUCAUUCAAAAUAUUUAACAUUUCCAGAAUUGAUAGUUGUCUAUUUGAGCAGUGACUGGUGGUUAUCAUGAACUGAUGUGUGGUUGUGGUGUCAAAUCUUGGUGAAACCUGUUGUCAUCUGCCGGUUAACAUAAUAAUUUCUUGAUUCACUAAAUAUGAGUUCAAAUUUGAUGCAGAAUGGGCAACCAGCCUACUGCAAACAAAUCUUCUGGAACAGUUCAGAUGAAGGGACAGCCAAUCCAGCAAAACAGCAACUGCUGUGGUUAGCCGAGCAUCUUAUUUUACUUCUACAUGUUAGCUGACUGAUUGUAGACAGUUUUAACUAUGUUGACUGCAUUAUCUUAUGAAUCUUUUAAUCUGUCAGAUUUAUUUCCUGCUUUAAGUUCUUUCCGUUUAUAACAAAUUUAAUUUCAUGCUUCAUUGCAUUCCAAAUUCCUGUCAAUUUACGAGGGAAAAAGAAAAGAGAGACGAGAUCGGAGAAAAUGGUCAAAUUUGUUAGGGGGAGAGAGCUGUUCAAGUAGUUUUUAUUCUUGUUUAUUGUCGUGACCCUCUUGUAGCUUGUCUAUGACCUGGAAGUCCGGUCAUAUCGGAUGGGUAAAGUUACCAAAACGGCAUCAUUUUGGGUGAAAUAUCAUAUUUAUGUAACACUUUUGAUAAUAUUUUUGUGCAACAAAAAAAUGUUCGCGGUACCCUUUUCACAUUGUGUAGCGCAUGAUCGGAUGAGAGCAGUCUGGAUUGUGGCAUCACAAGCUAAUGCUUUGAUUUGCUUAGUUUGUUUUUUGUUUCUGAUUUUUUCUUGGCAUUGGGUGGCAUAUUAUUUCUCUUUUGAGUUUUCCUUUUUUUUUUUUUUUUUUUGUUAUGGAAUCUAGAGAUAGUGUACAUGUAUGAAGAUGACGUAAUAAAGUUAUUUGAUAAUCUCAAAAAAAAAAAUUCACUCUAAUAAAUCUCGUAGCAAGCACAUGGUUUAUAUUGCAAGUCUUUUCGAAACUAAUUCAAAGAGAAAAUAUAAUUGAUCUUUACUUGUCAUAAAGAAUUCUAAAUAAAUUCAUAUACGCAUCGCAGCUAAUUAGAGCCUCUAUACUUACAUUUGGUUUUUGUUACUUUUUUGUAGAGUUGUGCUGUGCAUAAAAGUUUUGUUAAAUGAAAUCGGUGGGUGAAGAGAAUUUUCAGAAGCAUACAUCAAAGUAAUGAUCAAUAUAAAUAUUGAUUGUCUCAAGUUAGAUUAUACAAAGAUGAAAUAAUGCUAAUCUAGUAAAUUCAAUCAUAAUAAUUUGACUUCCAUUAUAUUAAUUAUGUCCAAUCGUGCUACUUUAAUAAAGAACCCUCGAGCAUUUAUAUGUAUACAACAAACAAAAUUAAUUACAAAACGAUCUUUGACAAAGUCUGACCGGUCAACUAUCCACCAAAUUUUGUAAUAUGUUACCGUUGAACUCUCAUAUCAAAUAUGGAUAGACAGCGCUUUGGCUAACAGUGAAAUAUAUACGAGCAUAAGAGCUCCGUUCUCUGUUUUGAUGGUGUUUCUCUUUGUGGUUGUUGGACAAAUUGUAAUGUGAAUUUCUAUUUAAUGGGUAUCAUAAUACUUUUAGUUACUUUGGGAUUGUUGAUUUAUAUAUGACCUUCAGUAUCCAAAAUUCAGAUAAUGAUAACCUUUAGUACUCUUGUCAUAUUACCUUUCGUGUUGGUGUUAAUAUCUUAAUUAUGUACCCAAUGGUAAGGACAAUAUAUAACUAAUUUGAAACUUCUAUAAUUUUAUAUAUAUAGAUGCAAAUUCAUUUUUAAGAGUGCAUUUAAUCAAGCAGUCCAUGCGUUUAUACUGAGUAAUUGGUUCAAUAUUAAUACAAAACUAUUUUAAGUAACAUGUGGCAUAUUCUAAUUCCAGCGAGCUUCCAACUCAUAUUCCCAAUUUAAAAGAAAAGUUUUCAAUUUUCUCCAGAAUGUUCUACAAAACGUUUCUUCUAGUCUCUACACUGUGCUAGAAUUUUCUCUAAGUUUCUUUUGCAAAGACUUUUAAAGAACUAUCCAGAUACUGAGCUAUAAUCCAGUCUAAGCGUAUAUAUCUCUCUAUAUUUCACCUCCCUCCAUUUCACUAGAAGAUCAACAAACACUUAGCUUCGAAACAAACACUCUCAAAAAGCUAGCUUAGCUACCCAGAUGGCGAAAUCAAGAAUUCUUGCAAUGACAAUGUCGUUUCUUGUUAUGGCUGCAACAUUGAUUAUCAUGGCAUCACAAGCAAACACUAUGAUGUCGUACACACAAUCACCUUUCUUUGACGUGAUGUUUGCAAUGACAGAAGAUCCUUUCAGGGUUCUUGAACAAACCCCUCUAACAAUCCCAAAAAGAGCUGAUCAGCAUCAAACUCUAGCCCUGGCGAGAGCAGACUUGAUGGAGCACCAACAGCACACGUGAUCGCGCUCGACAUUCCAGGGAUGAAGAAAGAUGAAGUGAAGAUUGAAGUUGAAGAGAACAAGGUACUCAGAGUGAGUGGGGAGAGGAAGAGUGAUGAUUAUUAUAAGGAGGGAGUUGAAGGAGAGAAACGGCACAGAGCUGAGAGCACAUUUGGCAAGUUUUAGAGGCAGUUCAGGAUGCCUAUGAGUGCUGACUUGGAACAUGUUAAGGCUUAUUUGGAAAAUGGUGUUCUGAGGAUCACAGUGCCAAAGUUUGCUGAGGAGAAGAGGAGGCAGCCUAAGGUUAUUAGCAUUAAUGAAGAGCUCGCAGGUAAUUCUUUCGGUGAAGAUAUUAAGGCCACCAAGGCCCAAAUGUGAUUGAUUAAAGAAAAAAGUGCUUGCUUCGCUUGAUAUGCUAUUUAUCAAAAACUCCUUUUACCAUCCAUUUGAACAUACAUAAACACGCCCAAUUUGAAAGAAAAAAAAGUAGUAAUUAUAAAAUAUUUCAAUCGUCUACUGUUCAGCCACCAAAAACCAAUUUACCAUCCAUUUCAACGCCUAAUUUGAAAAAAGAAAAUACUAAUAAUAAAAUAUUCCAAUUGUCCAUCCUUUCACAAAUCAAAAAUAUCACCAAAAACCAAUUAACCAACUAUUUCAACAUAAGGUAUAUGGGUUAACAAGUCCCAAUAUUGUCCUCCAUCCUUUCUGCACUUCUCUCCUAUCAACGGACAUCCCUGGAUCCAUAAUUGCAAAAGUGAGUAAGGCAGGCCCUUCUUCGGAAAGUAUUUGAGCUUGCGACAAUGAUAGAGGUGCAAUUCAGUGAGGUUUUGAAGAUCAACAACCGAAGAAGAUAGGCGUUCCAGAUUUGGAAAUUUAGAAAUGCUCAGAGAUGUUAGAGAGGCAGGAAGAGGAAGCGCGGUCCCUAAUCUUUUGUCCUCUAGUGGAAAUGACACCAUGUCGUCAUCGCAUCCGCUGAUUGUAAGAUGUCGUAGAGAAGAGAAUCUGUGAAAUCCCCGGCCCCGCUCAAUCAUUGACUUCCAAAUCUCCAUAUUACCCUGAAUAUGAAGUGAAUGAAGGUUGGUGGGAAGGCCAUCUUCUUCAAGGCUUGGAAGCUCACCUCCUAUUGUUAAUUGUUGAAGAGAGGUCAGAUUGUACAAUCCCUUGGGUAAGGCCUCUAGUCUCUUACAAUCAAAUAUCGUCAGCCUCGUGAGUUUCGCACAAGGCAAUCCCCCUUCGGGAAAGGACACCAGAUUUCCACACCUCUUUAUCCAUAUCUCUUGAAGCUGGCGGAGAUUAUGUAAACCACUCGGUAAAAUUUUCAGAUUUUCACAACGAGAAAUGUCGAUUUCUUCAAGAGAUGUGUUGUUGUCCAAUCUUUCUGCUAUUGACUCCAGCUUUGAACAUCCAUAAACACGAAGGGACUUAAGAGACGGAGGUAGAUUGCCAACUUCAAGGGACUCAAGCGUGGCAGGUAACUCGUUUUUUGAAAAUAUACAUGUCAGUGAUGGACAAUGCCAAAUUUCUAAGUGCUCAAGAAGAGAUGAGGUGUACCUUCUGCUGCUGCUGCUACUGUGGAUGCCCUCUUCCACUGUCAAAGUCCUUAUAUUAUCGCAGCGGCUGAUCUCUAACUUCUUAAGUCUCGAUGGUAGCUGGACAACAGCAAUAUAUGUCAACGAUCGGCAACCCUCAAUAUUCAAGAUCUCGAGAGACGAAUUGGUGUCGCACAUCCAUGCCUCUGGUAACGAUUUCAGUGCAUCACAAUGCCUAAUCUGAAUUUUCUUCAACUUGGAAGGCAGAGCAACCUCAGGAAAGGAAACAAGGGAACUGCAGCCUUGGAUUUCUAUAUCUCUCAAGGAACUGAGGCUGAACGAUGAUUGUGGCAGCUUCACAAGGCCUUCGCAAUUACUCAAUCUUAGAUAUUCAAGUCUGCAUGACAACUCGCAGAGCUGCUGUUGUUGGUCUUUCUCUUCCUCCGCAACCAAGGAUUGAAGUUUGGGACAACUUGUAAUCGCCAGUCUUUUGAGAGAGCAAAUGUCUUGCAGUAAUUGGUUAUGGCUCUUCCAUAUACAUGUUUCAUUUUGAAUAUUAUUUAUCUCCAAUUCUUCCAGUUUUGGUAUUCGCGGCUUCAAUGGCCCUGCGAGAAACACUUCAUUUGAUGUAUCUCUACAAACCACUGAAUUCUGUGAGCCGAGAUGAUCAGUUGCACUUCUCCACACAACCUUUUUACAUCCACCAAUUUCCAUUUUGCAAAGAGCUGGAAGACUCGUAACUGACACUGACAAUUCUUCACAUUCUCCAAUAACAAGCAUCUCCAAUGCAGGAAGGCAUUCUGGCACUGUUCCCCGCAGUUUAGAACAUCUUGAAAUGCGAAGCUCUCUCAAUUUAGGAAACCCUUCAACUCCCUGACCAGAUCUAAGAGGAAUCCAGUCUUCCCAUUCUUGCAUGUCUACAAAACGAAGACUUUCCAAGCAUGGAAAAGGAAUCAGGGAAUCAUUCCCAUAGAACUCUGAACCCAAACUCUUUACUCUACUCAUUCCACGCACUUCAAGAUGCUUUAGAGAGGGUAGUUGCCCGACUGAUGGCAGGGUAGUACACAUGCCACAAACUUCAAAAGUUAAGGUCGCCAAAUUUGAGAAUGAGGAAUCUCCCAACCAAGUUGGAAAUUCUUUACCUCCAUAGCCACUGAUACAAAAUUGUUCCAGAUUUUCAUGAGGUUUUAGCAUGUCGACCACAUCCUUUUCAGUUUCUGCCUCCCUUGAAGGCAAACCAUUGGUACUCCGUGUCCAUCGAAAGGUUAACACUUUAAGAUUCUUCUUUCCAUCCAAUUGAGCCUCCUUCGCAUCACCAAUGUCUUUUACGUUCUCUAAUUUUGAAAUGUUAAGUGGCCCACGAAGAUGCGUCAACAAUUUUAGCUCUCGUAUCCCGGAACCACUGUCUUUUCCCACAACAAAAUUACACAGCGUUUGAAGGCAAGUCAACUUACCAAUUCCUAGUGGCAUCUCCUCCAAUGAAUCUGUAUUUGAAUUAUUGAGAUGAUGCAAUUUGAUGAGAUUUCCCAUGUCUGUACACAACUUCUUCAGUCGCCGACAGCCCUCCAACAGAAAGGUGUGCAAAUUGUAAAGCUUGUUGACUGAUUCGGGUAGAGUUAUAAUGCCAGUUCCCGAUAAGUUAAGGUACCUUAAAUACCUCAAAUCACCAAUUGAAUCCGUUAGCUCAUAGAUGCAAUAUCCACGCAAAGAGAAGACCCUCAACCGUUGGAGUUUGAACAACUUAGGAAGAAUGCUACGAGCCAAGAAUCCACGCGAACUAUUUGACAAUGUUACUGGUAAAAAAGUUCGCAAAUGGUGGAUAUCAUGCAAGUCCUCAAACCUUUGAACGCGAUCACAAUAUCCACGAAUGUAUGACAGGUGACGAAGAUUUUUGGAAAAACUUUGUUGCUUGUUAACCUCUGAGUUAUACUCCAUUGUGAAGUACAUCUCCCCAGCGGCCCAAUGGGCAAGUUCGUUGACAAGGUCGUGCAUCACAAAUCGUGAUUUGUUGUUGCUUGAUUGCUGGAAAAAAGAUCUUGAACGUAGCUCUUGAAAGAACUUUCGACCUAGAUCUUCAUUAGGAUUCCCACUCUCUUUGUGAUCCAAGAAACCCGAAGCAUACCAUAAUAAAAUUAUCUCCUCCUCUUCAAAUUCAUAAUCCUUUGGAAACAAUGAGCAGUAUGCAAAGCAUUGUUUCAAAGGUGCCGAAAGAUAAUAGUAGCUCACUCUAAGCGCCGGUAUAAUGUCACAUCUCUCUUCGGGUAAAUUCCAUAUCAUGCAACUGAGCACACCUUCCCAAUCACUCCCGCCAAGUUUACCACGCAAGAGUCCACCAAGAGUUUUCGCAGCUAAGGGCAAGCCGUUGCAUUUGAUCACUAUCUUCUUGCCAAUUUCCUCCAAUGACUUGUUUGAACUGAAAUCUCUUGUCCCCAAAGAGUGUUGAGCGAACACAGACAGACAAUCAUCAUUUGACAACUUUUUCAAUUGAUAAGCCGGAGCAGUCCCCAUGAUGGCUGCAACCCCUUGAUUACGAGUUGUGACAAUAAUCUUACUUCCCGGUGCGCCAGCUUCAAAUGGAGGUCUGAGUCGAUCCCAACCAUUGUAAUUCUCAUUCCAAACGUCAUCUAAAACAAGCAAAAAUUUCUUUUGAGAUAACUUCUUCUUCAGCUCCUCUUGAAGCAAAUUUAAAUCACUAUCAUCAGUAGUCUGCUUAGUAAUGGAUCUUAGAAUUGUUUUUGUUAGCCUGAUAACAUCAAAAUCAUCAGAGACACAAGUCCAUGCCUUGAGAUCAAAAUGACCCUGCACUCGAGCAUCAUUAUAGACAAGCUGAGCGAGAGUGGUUUUACCCAGCCCGCCCAUGCCUAUGAUAGGAAUAACAGAGAAUUCACCAUCAUUUCUCAAAUCAUCCCUCAACAACAAUUCAACAAUUUCUUUCUUUUCUGCUUCCCUGCCAAAUACCUUGGCUUCAUUCACCAAAGAGGUUGUGGGUAGUCUUUGCCUGUCUUUUUUGGACCCCCCAGUUGAACUUUCUUUCAAAUCUAGCAAGUCUUUCUGUGUCACAAUUUCUUGAAAUCUGCCGUUGAUCUCUUUGAUUUUGGACAUCAAGGCAUAAUCGAAAUGAAUCGAUUGUGGAGUAAAAGUGGUGCAGCAAGUAGGAAUGAGCUUCCGAAACUUACUUGUUCUUGUACGACUGCUACUGGGUUGAUCCUGAGCCGCAGCUGGAUCUCCAUUUCCAAGCAGCAACCUCCUCCGGAAAGCCUCAGUUUGAAACUCAUCCAACAAGUCUUCAACAUCAUAAGCGAAGUUCUGAAGCUUGCCAAGCCACUUCUUCACAAACUGAUUAGUCGUCUUCUUCUCCUCAGCAUCAUCAAGUACCGCCUUGAUCAUCUCCAACAUAUUCGCCCACUUCAUCAGAUCGGCCUGGAUUUGCUCUUGGCGUGCAAAAAACAGAAUCCCCUCUGAAGCUAACUUAUUGACCAGCAAAUCAACGGACGCCGUAAGGAUUGCCUCUCCGAUGAUUGACAUUUUUUUUUUGUUUUGCAAAGAAAGAAACAGAAUUUUGAGUUUUGAAAAGCAAAAUGAGAAAAUUGAACAAUAAGUGUGGAGGGUCAAGCAAAAUGCGCGUAACAAGUCUUCCGCUUCUUGUUUAUUCCAGGAAAGUGCAAAUAAAAACAGAGCCCACCACCCAUUAAUAAUUGAGCAAUUCACCAAUCACGAGUCGCCACCACUCGUUACCAUGAAUAUAAUAAAUUGCACCUCCAUAUUUGCAGGGUCCAGCAACAUUGACCCAGUGUCCGGGUAAAUGCUGAAUAACGAGGAAAAUGGAAUGUAUCCGCUACGAAGCUUCGCUUUACAGGUCUUCAAACUCAUAAACCAAGAUAAAUCAAAACGUUUAUCUCUCUCUCUCUCUUUUUGCCAUAUAAUUACUUUAUUUAUUGAAUUAAUUUCCAUGCUAAAAGGAAGACUUAAAAGUGCACUACAAUUUUUUAUAAUCACAAUGGUAAUUUCUACUAUCAUGUUAUUUUAACGUCGUGUUAAAAUAAAUUAUUACAAUUUUUUUUUUUAUGAACACUCUUUUCAUUUAUAAAAUUUUUAAUUUUUAAUAUUUUUCUCACUCUUUUAGUCUUAAUAUUUGUAUUUCUCUCUUCAAACUUUCUUUAUUAUUUAAUUUUUAAAAAAAUAUGAAAAAAAGUAAGAAAAAUAUUAUACUUAAAAGAUAGUGAAUAUUUUAUGGGUCUAAUACAAGCCUGUAUUGUUUUUGACAAUGAAAGAGCACGCGAAAAAUCUCACUCAUAGAAAACUUUGUGAAAGGCAUUUGAAUGUGUGGCCACAUUUUCCGAACGAAACGAUAAGGCUUUAGCCUUAUAAUUGCAAUUAGUUUGUCUUGUAACUAAAUUAUUGCCGACAAACACCAUCAUGCUGACAAACCGUGCAUGCACGUCCUCAAUCACCCCAUAUUUCCCAUUACUUCCCGUACUUUAUGCGUUAUUGUUUUGUAUGUUUUUUGGUGUUUUCGGUGUAGUUAGGGAUCGUAGCGGGUAGCGUCUGGUACGGGUUUGACAUCACCAAACCCGCAUCUACAAAAAAUUUUAAUUACGUAAUUCAAAUUAUAAAUUUAUAAACAUUGCCUAAAAAAACCACAUAAAAUACUUAAUUCUACAUUUUAUCAAUAUAAAUGAGAAAUGAAAAUAUCAACAUUAAAACAAAUACACAAAAUAUAUCAAUUUAACAUUAAUUCUUAAAUUCAAUUACCAAAUAAAUAAGUCUAUCACAACUCGAAGUGCUUUUAAUUUAAAAAGAAAAAAGAGAAAGAGAAAAAACAAAGAACUACAAAUCAAAGUAGCACUCAGACCUAUUUUAUAGGCUCAUUCGACACUAAGAUCUUAGAAUUAAGAUCUUCAAUUCAUUCAUUACCACUAGCACCCAUUCAACGUGGUUUUUCUAAGCAAAAUAUAAAGUACAAAAUUACAAUAAGCAUAUGAUACUCCAUGCUUUAAGUUAAAGGUCCUUAUAUAAUUUUAUGAAUAAUGUUUUAGUGAAAUUUUAUGAUUAAAGUUAAAAAUACACAAAUAUUAAAAUAAGAAUGUUGGAUACCUGUGCAACUAUUUGCCAAAUUUUUUCUCUAUAAAAAUUCACUUGCAACUUGCAGCAGGUUUAAAUUUAUAAUAUCAAACUUGAUUGUAGCUCGCAAAAUUUUUAGAUCUGCGAUAAUUUUGCCACCCUAAGUGUAGUUAGUAUUGUAUAUCGUGUGUUUCCAAUUGGCUCUUAUAAAAAGCCUAGAAGUUGUUUGAAUAAUGAGGGAGACAAAUAUUUCCCAAAGAUAUUAUCUUUUUCAAAUUUUUUUUCUUUUCUCUAUUAUUGUAACUUCAAAUCCUUAAAAAUUACAUAUUACAGAUAUGAACACAAUGUUUUGACAUAGUGCCUUUUGGCUUGUCUAGAGAAAUUUAGGAUAGAUUUUGAUGUACGAAGGCUCUGUUUACUAUUGAGAUUUUGAAACUUUUGAGCCACACUUGAAAUUUGUUUAAUUCUAAUAGAGUUGUAGCCUUCGAUAUGUGAUUGGUAUUAAUCAAGUGUUAUGUUUACAGCAGUUAAAGGCAUAUUGAAUCAAAGUCCACUUUUGAUUGAGAUUUUAAAGUAGGUUUUUAAUUUGAUAGCCACUCAAGUUCAAAUAUUGGAACCACAGUGCACCUUUCACUUGCUAGGCUUUAACCAAACAGACGACGUUAUACCAACUUCUAUCCAAUAAGGCAAUGAAAACAAAAGCAAGUGAAUUAAAAAUAAAUAAUUUCUCAUUAAUUUGCAACAAGUAUUAAUAAAGUGCAUGAGAAAAUAUGUCUUUUUUUAAAUGAAAAUAAAUGUGUUAAUUAGUCAAUUUAAAUGGUACGAUGUUUUGAAAUGAUAGAAGCGAUCUGGAGUUUAAAUCUUACUCUUGACGUAAUAUUUAAUAACGAAUUUGAAGAACAAUUAAAAAUUAAAAGAAAAGAAAAAAAUGCUUUCUUUUUUAACGAUGGUAAUUUGUUCAGACGAUGAAAAUUCUUAGAGUGGUAUAAUAAGUAUUUUUGAGUGUUGCCAUCGCGAAUAAUAUUUAAUUUCCUUUAUAUAGUUAUAUCUCAAGUAACAUUUGAACAGAAGCAAGUUGGAAAUUAAAAAAAAGAAUGAACCAUUGAGAGAAUGAAAAACAAACAAAAAAAAAGUUAAAAAAAUUGUAUCUCAAUAAAUUUACUUGAGAGCUACUCUAUUGAUCUGUGAAGAGAAAACACAAAGAAUAAUGAUGAAUAUCAAUUAAUAGGACAAUUUUUGUAUUUUUCGUUUAUUCAAGAAUCACGAAACUUCAUUUAAACUUGUUAUUUCAUUGAUAAUAUUAAUAUAUUAAUAUUGAACAAUUAAUGUAGGAGACAUUCCUUUCCAAUUAUGCCCAUAUAUUAAUUAAAGAUCACCCAAAAGUUCAGGGAUACUAUAGUAAUUUAAGUCAACAAUUUCUGCGCUUGAAAUCAGCCGAUCAAACUCACUUUAGAAUAAACUGAGAAAUCAAAAUCACAUUCUCCGAUUCUACGAUUUCAAUUCAUCUUAUUUCUUCAACUGAAGAAUUGGUUGUAUCUCGUUUUAUUUUAUUUUUAUUUUUAUAUUAAGAUAAAUAUAAAAUAUAAAUGACGAGGAGACUGUAAAUGUAAAAACAAAAGAAGAGCACAAGUUUUAUUGAAAAUGACUCUUUUCAUCAUUUUGGCGGAGUGAACGUAUCUACAUAUAAACUAAAGAAGCACAUUUGUUUGUAUUAACUUUUUUAUUAUAUUUUUAAUAAUAAGUCAUUUUUCAAUGAACUUAUAUCAAUUUUUACGAAAAUAAUAGGUGUUAGUUAGUUGAUUCAAAUGGCAAAACCUCUUGGAUAGAGCUUGUAAUUUAUUGGCUCAUGAAUUGUCUAAAUUGACACUACCGAAGCCAAAUUAUUAUAUUUGGUUAAAAAAGCUCCUGCUGAGCUUCAACUUUAUUAUUCUAUGAUGUUUAUUAAUAAAUAACAAUUUUAUUAAAAAAAAGAUCUCUUGAAAUGAUACAAAAGAUUUGGGAUCUGAAUCUCACUCGAAUUUAGCUUGAGGUUGGCAUUGUUAGCAUAAUAUUUGAAGAUAGAUUUUUUUAAAAUUAAAAAUCAAAAGAUUUUUUUUUCUGGUUCACACUAGUUAGUUUUUACUCAUAAUGAGAUUAAAACAAAAGCGGAAUAAUAAAUCUUAACAUCCUGACUCAUGGAUAACAUCUAGAUAAGAUAGUAAAAUCUAUUAUGUCCAAAAUAAGAGGUAUGAAGUUUGAAUUUCGCUCACAUAGGUAGUAAGAGAAUCAAAUUAUUGUUAGAUUAAAUUAAUUAAAAAAAUUAUCUGAUAUCCAAAACAGCGUGUCAACAAAAUUGAAAUAAAAGAAAAUUGAAGAGAAAAACCAUUGAGAGAACGAAAAAUUAACACAAGAUAAAUUCGAUAACUAAUUGUAUCAGUGUGCGCUAACUUCACUUAUUAAAACUUGGUUAUUUCAUUUUCAUUGAUAAUCAUUUUGACAACGAUUUUUCUUUCCAGCUAUGCCCGUGAACUAAUAAGAGAACUGCCGAAAGGGUUCGGGGAUAAUAUAGUAAUUUAAAUUAACAUUUUCUGUGCUUCAAAUCAUCAAAUCAAACUCACACUUCGCAACAACAGAGAAAUCAAACUCACGGUUUCUCUCAUUUUUAAUUUGUUAUAUAAAGAUAAAUAUAUAAAUUUAAAUGGCGAGAAGACCGGACGAGAAAUACGAUUACUUGUUCAAAGUGGUAUUAAUCUAAAAAUAAUAAUAUUAAAUAAAACACCUGUAACUUUAAGACAUACAUAUUCUCAAAGCACAAGUGGACCCGAGAGGCUGGGAGUCGUAAUGGAAAGAAGAAUACAAUAUAUGAAACUUAUAACGUUAUUUUUACUAUAUUAUAUUGAUACUUUGUUUUGUUAAUCAUAUAAGUCAAUCAAUAAUUGUCUAAUCAUUGGAAUUAAAACUAAUGUAUUAAUUAAAAUUCACAAUCUAUUAUAAAAAUAGUAAAUAUUAAUACAAAGAGAUGGACCUAUUACAAAAUAAAUUCACCAAAAGUUCUAUUAUACUUAAAAUUCUCAUUCAAAAAAAAAUAAUAGUUGAAUACAUGUACAAAAAAAGGGGAUAAAUAAAAAAUAAUAAUAAUAAAUAAUAAAAGGAUAGUUUAUAUAAUAAAAAAUAAAUUUAUUGAAUAGGGAUGUUAAUAAUAAAGAAUAAUAGCCGAUCAAACUCACUUUAGAAUAAACUGAGAAAUCAAAAUCACAUUCUCCGAUUCUACGAUUGACUCUUUUUCAUCAUUUUACUGGAGUGAAUGUAGCUACAUGUAUUGGGGACCAUAAUGGAAACUGGUAGAAACUACAAGGGCUAAAAUCAGAACAACGAACGAUAUCUCAAGGUCGCCAAAACGUAAAUAAUUAAUCUUAUCUUUCAAUUGAUUUUUUUGUGGAGACAGAGACAAACCCGAACAGCAAAUAGCCAUAACUGAUAGGACAACUAAGUUGGAACACUCCGCAGACCCACGAUUUAAUAUCUUUAGAUUGUAACGGUUUAACCCCCAAAAAAAAAAAUUAGCAAAAUAUUUCUUAAAAAAAUGAAAAAAAAAAUGUUGAAAAGAAGAACAAAAUUGUGGUCCACGUGUCAUUUCAGAAUAGGUUGCUGGCAUAAACAACCGGCCCCAUCCCGGACAGAUGUUAUUUGAGUGGUUGGUACGCGUUUCUACUUUUUUGUUUUAGACAUAUAUAGGUAAUCCCUAUCUUAUAUAUAUAGGUAAUCCCUAUCUUAUAUGCAUAUAAGAUACAUAAUGUUAUUAGUUUAAAUAAUGGGUGCAACUCAUGUUUUUGAAACAUUAAGAUCUUUAGCCAUUCUCUUACCAUCCCAUGGUUAUUUAAGUUACAAGAGACAGUAAAAAAACGUCAUAUUUUAAUUACUUACACUAAUAAAUAACUUACUCACACUAAUGCCGCGACUACCGCUUGCUUUUUUUCUUUUUUUUGCCCUUUUGUUUUUGACUUUUUGACUUUUGCUUUUGGUUUAUAAUAAUAAUAAUAAUAAUAAUAAUAAUAAUAAUAACUACUUUUUAAUUUAAUAUAAUAUAAUAUUAAAUAAUAUUUUUAAUUUUAAUUUUACAUUAUAAUUAUUAAUAUAUAAUUUAUUAUUCAAUAUUAUUAUAUUAUGUUUUUUAUUUUUACAUUAUAAUUUAUUAAUAAAUUUAUAAUUUAUUAUAACUAAUAAUAAAUAUUUAAAUAUGAAUAAAUAUGAAUAAUAUUAAUUUAAAAUUAAUAAUAAUAUAAAAUAUUAAUACAAUUUAAAUAUAUUAAUAUAAUAUAAUAUAAUAUUUAAUUUGAAUUAAUCACAAAAAAUUAAUACAGUACAGUGUAGCACCAAAUAUUGUACAUUAUUAUUAUAAUACAAUGUUAAUGCAACGCAACAUAAUACAAUACACCAGCAUUAAAAUAAUACAAUCUAGCAUAAUACACUACAGUGUGCGAAAUACACCGACAUAGAAUUACUUUGUUUGUCUUGUUAUUUACAAUUAUUUAAUCUGUAGACCCACUCAUGCUCCUUCUAUGUAACAUAGAUACAAUUUGAGGAAGAUUAUCAAUUUUUUCUGAUAAAAAAUAAUAUAUACCACUUACUCUUUAUUGUUUUUAUAAUGUUCAACAAUCCGCUUGAGAUAAAAAAAAUUAAAUGAAAAAGAGUAAAUAGAUGAUUUGUUUGAUGUUAUAUCUUAGAAAUAUAAAAUAUAUAUUUAUUAUUAAAAAUAUUUAAAAAUAAUAAAGAGUACAUAAAAAAUAUCUUAUCCUCAACAACAAGAUCAGACGACGUCAAUUCAGCAAAAUGACUCGAACAAUCUGAAAGUCCAGCGUCACCUCUUGGGACACAUCUGGCAACCUGUGUAGCUUUGGCGAGAGGUCUCCCAAAAGGACGAUUAAGGAAAGAUUGCAAGACGGAAUCAUGAAAAUAGUAGUACUGAGUCCAUCACAGUCAAGUCUUAGAAAUCACAUCCCUGUAUUAAUUUCCAGAAAAAUGUUUGUUCCAUAUUAGCCGUACACGUAUAUAUUCUAUAUAUUGGGAAUAGAAAGAGCAUAUGUAGAAAAUUCUUCAUUCAUCAAUUAAAACUUAACUUAUGUACGAGGGUUAAGUGCAGAGUUUUUAAAUUUGAAAGGGAUAAGUAUUAUAGUCCAUUUCAAUUUAGAUACAAGUACUUCGAACUUGUAUUUGAGGUAAAAUCUGUAUACCAUAGUACAUAUUAUAUAUCCAGUCAUGGGAUCCAUGCAUGGUUCCAUGUAAUUCGCAGAGUUGAACUGGAGACACUGAUUAGUUCGUUGUCUACUUACCAACUAUGUACUACUAAGUAAUUUUUUUUUUUUUUUUAUGGUUCAAAAGCAUAUUGUCAAACCACAAUCAGAAGCAACUUAAGUUUUGAUUACGGUUCACCAGAAGUCACAGCUAGCAAGUGAUCCUUGCAUCAUUUUGCUAAACAUACAAUGAAAUUAACCCUUGUAAUUUCGGCCUUUGCCAUAGUCGUUUUGUUUAUUAGGUUUAUGUUUAUCAACAUGAUAUAUUGUCAACCAUAAUCACAAUCAAGUUGUUAAUUAUUUUUUAAAUAAUGCGAAGGUACAAGAUUUUGGUCUUUGAGUGUGGAGUUAAAAAUAUCUCACCUCAACAUUAUUUGUUAAAAAUUAUGUCAAAGAGGAAAGCAGAUUCAAACAUUACUUCAAUUUUCUUUAAGAGCAUCAAAAAAUCGUUAAUAGGCUACUGUUAUUUGUUAGUACGAUUUCACAAAAGGAAGCUGGGGGAAGAUGAAGCUUUCAAGUCAUGUAUGCAUCAAAGUAAGAAAGAGCUAACAAGAGAUAGACAAGUAUUAACCAUCGUUAUCAGAAAUUAAAUAUGUCAGCAUUUUGUCAGUUCUGGCCAUAUUUUGAAAGAUUGGAACUAUUAGCACCCUAAUUUUCUUUUGAAGCUCCUUUUCUGUGGAAACCUAUUUUAAUUUCCAAAAUAUCUUUUUUCCAUUCUUUUAGUUUCUUUCUGAUUCAAAAAAAAAAUCAGUUUCUUAAACAACUCCAACUAUAAAUAUUUUUUUACAAAUUUUUGAAUUGUUAAAUCAUGUGUGUGUAUAAAUUGAAUAGAAUUAAAAGUGAACUCAAAUGGCUAUUAUGUAAUUUUUUUUUUUAUAAUUAAAGAAAAGUUUAGAAUGCAAAAGUGCGUGUGAGAAAACAAAAAAUAUAAAUCGCCUUUGAUGUAGUUGUAUGGCUGUAAAGAGUUAAAUGGAGAAAUAUAGUAUAUAGUUAAAUUUAUUUUGUUCUUUAAAACGGGUAGGUUUUAUAAGAAUUGUUUAGAGGACUACCAAUAUUUGAACUCUUUUUCAAAUGAAGUGAUGUCCAAGAAUAAAAUCACUACUCUAUCAUUGCUAUUAGUUUGUCUUGUAAUUCAAUCACUGCCGACAAGUAUUAAUUGUGAAUAUUAUUAUUUUAAAAAUAUUAUUAUUAUUAUCGUCGUUAUUCUUAACAGCAAUGACUAGAAUUAUAAUAAUAACAAUAACGUUAUACCAUAAUAUAACAACACAAUAAUAUUUUAAUUGAGAAUAAGAAUGAAAUUAUGAAAUUUAGGUUGGGUAAAAUUGAUGAGUGAAGAAAUUAAAUUACCAUUCUUUAAGCUAAAUAGUUCAUAAAUUCCACAUAUUUUAUUCUUAUUUUUCUUAUAUUUUAACAAGUAAAUAUUAUUAAUUAUUUUAAUAUUUUAAUUAAUAAACACGAGAUUAACUACAGAACCAAAAGAUCCCAAAAAAAAAAGGGGAGACGCGUGUAUGUAUUGCUUGUGACAAGUCUCACCCAUGGAAAACUUUGUGAAAGGCAUUUGAAUGUGUGGCCACAUUUAAUGAACGAAACGAUAACUUUAAAAGAAAGUAUGUAAUGUGUUGAUUAUUAGGCUUUAGCAUGGUGAUUGCAAUUAGUUUGUCUUUUAAUUAAAUUAUUGCCUACAAACACUAUCACGACCCACGUCCGCUACUUGUGUGAAUGUGUGAAUAAAUAUCCGCAGCAUAUUAUCAAACCUGAAGCGUGAUCAUCUUUAAGUUUUGGUUACAGUUCAUCAGACGUUAAAAAAAAAACUCCACAUAUUGUUGGUUAGCUAAUUCUUGCAGCUAGCAAGUGAUCAUUUUCUUUCCCCUACUGCCGUAGCAUCAAAUCCUUGCACUUACAUAUCAAGUGGUAUUCGAGCCGUCAAAUGAUCCAUGGAAACACGCAACAAAUCAAAUGCUGAAUUUUGCGAAGAGAUUCACGAAAUCCUUGCUAUACAUGAGUCUAGUUUUGACCAAGUUCACGUCACCCAUCAGCUGCGGGUUUGAAUGGUACCUAGUGGAUAGUUUGUGAGUUCCCACUAAUAAAAUCACACUUGCAACAAAACUUAAAAAUUUAAAUUACGUAAUUCAAAUUAUAAAUUUGUAAUCGUAGCCUAAAAAAUCACAUAAAAUACUUAAUUCUAGAUUUUAUCAAUGUAAAUGAGAAAUGAAAGUUUUAACAUUAAAAUAAAUACACAAAAUAUAUCAAUUUAACAUAAAUUCUCAAAUUUAAUUACUAAAUACAUAAGUCUAUCGCAACUCAAAGUGUAGCACCAAAUAUUAUACAUUAUUAUUAUAAUAAAGUGCUAAUGCAACGCAACAUAAUACAAUACACCAGUAUUAAAAUAAUACAAUCUAACAUAAUACAAUACAGUGUGCGAAAUGAACCGAAAUGGUAUUACUUUGUUUGUCUUGUUAUUUACAAUUAUUUAAUCUGUAGACCCACUCAUGCUCCUUCUAUGUAACAUCGAUACAAAUUGAGAAAUUUUAUCAUUUUUUUCUGGGAAAAAAUAAUAUAUACCACUUACUCUUUAUUGUUUUUAUAAUGUUCAACAAUCCACUUGAGAUAAAAAAAAUUAAAUGAAAAGAAGGAGUAAAUAGAUGAUUUGCUCGAUGUUGUAUCUUAGAAAUAUAAAAUAUAUAUUUAUUAUUAAAAAUAUUUAAAAAUAAUAGAGACUUCAUAAAAAAUAUCUUAUCCUCAACAACAAGAUCAGACGACGUCAAUUCAGCAAAAUGACUUGAACAAUUUGAAAGUCCAGCGACGGUCACCUCUUGGCACACAUACGGCAACGUGUGUAGCUUUGGCAAGAGGUCUCCCAAAAGGACGAUUAAGGAAAGAUUGCAAGACAAAAUCAUGAAAAUAGUAGUACAGAUAUGCAAUGGCUAAAUUGUCCUCGAUUGAGUCAAUCGCAAUCAAGUCUUAGAAAUCGCACCCCUGUAUUAAUUUCCAGAAAUAUGUUUGUUCCAUAUUUAUCGUGCACGUAUACAUUGUAUGUAUUGGGAAUAGAAAGAGUGUAUGUAAAAAAUUCUUCAUUCAUCGAUUAAAACUUAACUUAUGUACGAGAGUUAAGUGCAGCGUUUUUAAAUUUAAAAAGGACAAGUGGUUAGAGCUCCCACAAAUGUAUUGUAGAAGUUUAAUUUAAAUUUUUCUUCCUUAAAACUUAAGUGAAGACAGUUUUUCUCCUAAAAGUAGAGUUUUUCUAGGAGUUUGACGUCCCUCAAAUAUUUGAGAGGGUUAAAAUCUGAGCAAUACUAUAUAAGAUGUAAUGUAAACUGAUCUCAAUAAUUAUAUAAUUGUAAAUAUCAUGAGCAACAAUCUCAUUAAAAAAAAAGCAGAACAAGUGUCGUAAGUGUUGGAGAAAAAUUAGGUUUUUAAAUUUUUUAUAAAACCUUUUGAAGAUCUCUCUCAUAUAAUAUAUAAGAAUACGUAAUCUAGAAAUCGUAUCUUGAAAAUCCGAUUUGGCUUUUUUCGUUGAAGUGAUUUAGGCUCCUUGAUCACGAUCUUCCAUCACCACUCCUGUUAGAUCACGAUCCGUCACCACCACACUUGUUAGAUCACGAACUGUCACCAAUGAUCUUCCAGGUUAUGACUCAGGUUUGAUCUGCACUUGACGUGUGGGCGCCUUUAUCACUACUAAAGCAACUAGCACGAGAAAAUUUUUCUCUCAACAAUAGAGAGAAAAAUAUUUUUCUCUGAUCUGUAUAAAGUGGCUGCUCUCUUUUUCUUUUUAGAAAAUAAGCCUUUUUUAUAUCACUCUUUAGUGAAAACCCUAGACUCCAAAUAAUCAAAAAACAAAACUCACGUUAUUUGUUUUUUCUAUAGGAGACCCACCUUGUAAAAUAACAUAAGGCCCCUUACACAAAAGCUAAUUAAAUGGAGCCUCCCACUAAAUGAUAUAUUUAGGCUUUUGACCCAAAUAGCUAGUUAUCUUACUUAUUAGUCUAGUAGUGGUGCAGUCAAUUAAAUGAGCUAACCCAGGGAUCAUUUGGGAACAUACAAUAGUAGCUACAAUAAUUAGGCCUGUAAUUAAACUAGCCCAAUUAUUUACUUCCAAAUCUACUCCACUAAAAGAUUGGAACUGACUUCCAUAAUUGUAUGCUCGAAUAAUAAUUCGUCCCAAGCCACAUUGAUUUCUUUACUGCACAAUCCUUUGUACCACAUCGUUAAUUAAAUUGAUAUCUCAACUGUCCAAUCAAUUUAAUAACAUCUUAUUCCUUGAUCCUUACUGGUUUUCUCUAAUGAUCAUUUUCAACAUACUAAAUAUGUUGACACACUCUGGCCAGAGAAUUCUAUGAUCAAGUGCCGAAAACCCAUCAAGAGAUGUGUUGUACAAAUUCUAUAUUGUUAAUCCAUAACUCCAAUACUCAUAAUUGCUCCCACUAAGAUACCGGGUAAUCUUGACCACAAGGAUGUGUCUGCCCAUUGGUAAUUCAAAUGGAAUAACAAUUACAAUCAUGAAAUCAUAAUUAACUCAAGAUUAAGAUUACAGUAAAAUCAAUGCCUAUGAGAUUUAAUAAGUUUGACAGUUAUUACAAAGUUAAUUAAAUCUCAUAUGUGAUCCUGUUCAAUAUAGUCAUACUACAUCAAUAAAUUCAUACAUGAAUAAGACAAAUCAUUCAAUGAAUUUAUUACAGUCUAUACCUAAAUAAAGUGCCCAAUUUUAUUUAUCAACUGCGAACUAAAUUUAUUUAAUCAUAAGAUAACUUGUAUUUAUGUUUUCUGUGAAUCCACAUGGUGAUCACAUAAAUACAUCUAAUAUGAUUAAAUGGAUUUUAAUACAAAUAUUAAUGCAAUUAAGAUAUUUGAAUAAAAUACCUUAUUUAUUUUAUUAAUCAGAAAAAUUAUUUAUUACAAUUAAAUAAACACAUAUGCUUUUAAAGAGCAUAUUUUCCCAACAAUAAGCCCAUUUAAAUAAACUAAUAUUUGAAGGGGAAAUCUCUGUAUACCAUAGUAUAUAUUAUACAUCCAGUCAUGGGACCCAUACAUGGAUGGUUCCAUGUAAUUCGCAGAGUUGAACUAGAGACACUGAUUAGUUUGUUGUCUACUUACCAACUUAUGUACAACUAAGUAAUUGCAUGCUCCAUUUGCGACUUAUCUGUCCACCCUGCUUGCAUUGCAUUAACUACGUCCCCAAUCACCCACGUCCGCUACUUGUGUGAACGUGUACAUAAAUACAUAUAUCCGCAGCAUAUUAUCAAACCAGAAUCAGAAGCAACUUAAGUUUUGAUUACGGUUCACCAGAAGUCACAGUUAGCAAGUGAUCCUUGCAUCAUUUUACUAAACAUACAAUGAAAUCAACCCUUGUAAUUUCGGCCUUUGCCAUAGUCGUUUUGUUCAUUAGGUUUAUGUUUAUCAACAUGAUAUAUUGUCAACCAUAAUCGCAAUCAAGUUGUUAAUUAUUUUUUAAAUAAUGUGAAGGAACAAGAUUUUGGCCUUUGAGUGUGGGGUUAAAAAUAUCUCACCUCAAUAUACGGUGUUGUGCUCUCAUCAUCGUACUAUUAUUUGUUAAAAGUAUGUCAAAGAGGAAAGCAGAUUCUGUUGGGAAAAUAUGCUCUUUAAAAGCAUAUGUGUUUAUUUAAUUGUAAUAAACAGUUUUUCUGAUUAAUAAAAUAAAUGAGGUAUUUUAUUCAAAUAUCUUAAUUGCAUUAAUAUUUGUAUUAAAGUCCAUUUAAUCAUAUUAUAUGUAUUUAUGUGAUCACCAUGUGGAUUCACAGAAGACAUAAAUACAAGUUAUCUUAUGAUUAAAUAAAUUUAGUUCGCAGUUGAUAAAUAAAGUUGGGCACUUUAUUUAGGUAUAGACUGUAAUAAAUUCAUUGAAUGAUUUGUCUUAAUCAUGUAUGAAUUUAUUGAUGUAGUACGACUACAUUGAACAGGAUCACAUAUGAGAUUUAAUUAACUUUGUAAUAACUGUCAGACUUAUUAAAUCUCAUAGGCGUUGAUUUUACUGUAAUCUUAAUCUUGAGUUAAUUAUGAUUUCAUGAUUGUGAUUGUUAUUUCAUUUGAGUUACCAAUGGGCACGACACAUCCUUGUGGUCAAGAUUACCCGGUAUCUUGGUGGGAGCAAUUAUGAGUAUUGGAGUUAUGGAUUAACAAUAUAGAAUUUGUACAACACAUCUCUUGAUAGGUUUUCGGUACUUGAUCAUAGAAUUCUCUGGCCAGAGUGUGUCAACAUAUUUAGUAUGUUGAAAAUGAUCAUUAGAGAAAACCAGUAAGGAUCAAGGAAUAAGAUGUUAUUAAAUUGAUUGGACAGUUGAGAUAUCAAUUUAAUUAACGAUGUGGUACAAAGGAUUGUGCAGUAAAGAAAUCAAUGUGGCUUGGGACGAAUUAUUAUUCGAGCAUACAAUUAUGGAAGUCAGUUCCAAUCUUUUAGUGGAGUAGAUUUGGAAUUAAAUAAUUGGGCUAGUUUAAUUACAGGCCUAAUUAUUGUAGCCACUAUUGUAUGUUCCCAAAUGAUCCCCGGGUUAGCUCAUUUAAUUGACUGCACCACUACUGGACUAAUAAGUAAGAUAACUAGCUAUUUGGGUCAAAAGCCUAAAUAUAUCAUUUAGUGGGAGGCUCCAUUUAAUUAGCUUUUGUAUAAGGGGCCUUAUGUUAUUUUACAAGGUGGGUCCCUUAUUGAAAAAGCAAAUAACGUGGGUUUUGUUUUUUGGAUUAUUUGGAGCCUAGGGUUUUCACUAAAGGAAGAUAUAUAAGGUUUAUUUUCUCUAAAGGAAAAGUGAGAAGCCACUUUAUACAAAUCAGAGAAUAAGAUUUUUCUCUCCAUUAUUGAGAGAAAGAUUUUCUCGUGCUAGUUGCUUUGGUAGUGAUAAAGGCGCCCACACGUCAGGUGCAGAUCGAACCUGAGUCAUAACCUGGAAGAUCAUUGGUGACAGUUCGUGAUCUAACAAGCGUGGUGGUGACGGAUCGUGAUCUAACAAGAGUGGUGGUGGCGGAUCGUGAUCUAGGAGCCUAAAUCACUUCAGCGGAAAAAGCCAACUCGGAUUUUCAAGGUACGAUUUCUAGAAUACGAAUUCUUAUAUAUUAUAUGAGAGCGAUCUUCAAAAGGUUUUAUAAAAAUUUAAAAACCUGAUUUUUCCCCAACAGAUUCAAACAUUACUUCAAUUUUAUUUAAGAGAAUAAAAAAAUCGUUAAUAGGCUACUGUUAUUUGUUAGUACGAUUUCACAAAAAAAUCAGUUUCUUAAACAACUCCAACUACAAUUUUUUUUAACAAAUUUUUGAAUUAUUAAAUCAUAUGUUUGUGUAUAAAUUGAAUAGAAUUAAAAGUGGACGCAAAUGGCUAUUAUGUAAUUUUUUUAUAAUUAAAGAAAAGUUUAGAAUGUAAAAGUGUGUAUGAGAAAACAAAAAAUAUAAAUCACCUUUGAUGUAGUUGUAUGAUUGUAAAGAGUUAGAUGGAGAAAUAUAAUAUAUAAUUAAAUUUAUUUUGUUCCUUAAAACGGGUAGAUUUUAUAAGAAUUUUCCAGAGGAGUGCCAAUAUUUCAACUUUUUUUCAAAUGAAUUGAUGUCCUGGAAUAAAAUCACUACUCUAUCAUUGCUAUUAGUUUGUCUUGUAUUUCAAUAAUUGCCGACAAGUAUUAAUUGUGAAUAUUAUUAUUUUAAAAAUUUAUUAUUAUUAUCGUCGUUAUUCUUAACAGCAAUGACUAGAAUUUUAAUAAGAACAAUAACGUUAAUACAAUAAUAUAACAACAUAAUAAUAUUUUAAUUGGGAGAAUAAGAAUGAAAUUAUGAAAUUUAGGUUGGGUAAAAAUGAUGAGUAUCAGGAAAUUAAAUUACCAUUUUUUAAGCUAAACAAUUCAUAAAUUCCACGUAUUUCAUUCUUAUUUCUCUUAUAUUUUAACAAGUAAACAUUAUCAAUAGUUUUAAUAUUUUAAUUAAUAAACACGGUGUUAACUACGGAACUAAAAGAUCCAAAAAAAAAAAAAACCAGAGACGCGUGUAUGUAUUGCUUGUGACAAAUCUCACCCAUGGAAAACUUUGUGAAAGGCAUUUGAAUGUGAGGCCACAUUUAAUGAACGAAACGAUAACUUUAAAAGAGAGUAUGUACUGUGUUAAUUAUUAGGCUUUAGCUUAAUGAUUGCAAUUAGUUUGUCUUGUAAUUAAAUUAUUGCCGACAAACACUAUCACGACCCACGUCCGCUACUUGUGUGAACGUGUGUAUAAAUAUCCACAGCAUACUAUCAAACCUGAAGCGUGAUCAUCUUUAAGUUUUGGUUAGGGUUCAUCAGACGUUGGAAGAUAUCUUUCCUAAUUUGAAGAAGAUGGAAACUCCUUAUCCAGGUUCUUAGGCCAUGUUCAGUUGAAUGUCAUUUAUAAUUUUUAUUUUAACAUUAUGUAUUUAUGAAUACAAUUAUUGUUAUGAUUUUUUCAGGUAAGAAUGGAUGGUCUGAGGGUAACCCAAUAACUAUGUACAGUAUUAUUAAUGAAAAGAGAGCGUGAGUGACAAUUUGGAUUUUAUUAUCGUCCCUCAAUACGGAAGAAAUCUUGACCAUAGCGGUUAAGUGCUAUGUAACUCUUUCGUAUUAUGUUUAAUUAAUAAUAAAAUGAUGGGUUAUUAUUACCUGUCAAUUAUGUGAGGAGUGUCUUUAUUUGGUUUACUUCCACUUAUAAAAUCUCUUGAGAUAUAUAAGAGAUUUUCUUUAUUUAAUUUUGUGUACCGUGUCUUCUUGUAAAAAGAAAUUAAUAAAAAAAAUCAUUGUUUGCAAUGUAUUAACUAAGUUAGUGUAUUCAUGUUAGGUUAAUUGUGCUCUCUCUUCUUGAUAUUUUAAAAAAAAAAAAAAAUCCACAUAUUGUUGGUUAGCUAAUUCUUGCAGCUAGCAAGUGAUCCUUUUCUUUCCCCUACUGCCGUAGCAUCAAAUCCUUACAAUUACAUAUCAAGUGGUAUUCGAGCCGUCAAAUGAUCCAUGGAAACACGCAACAAAUCAAAUGCUGAAUUUUGCGAAGAGAUUCACGAAAUCCUUGCUAUACAUGAGUCUAGUUUUGACCAAGUUUACGUCACCCAUCAGCUGCGGGUUUGAAUGGUACCUAGUGGAUAUUUUGUGAGUUCCCACUAAUAAAAUCACACUUGCAACAAAACUUAAAAAUUUAAAUUACGUAAUUCAAAUUAUAAAUUUGUAAUCGUAGCCUAAAAAAUCACAUCAAGUACUUAAUUCUAGAUUUUAUCAAUGUAAAUGAGAAAUGAAAGUUUUAGCAUUAAAAUAAAUACACAAAAUAUAUCAAUUUAACACAAAUUUUCAAAUUUAAUUACUAAAUACAUAAGUCUAUCACAACUCAAAGUGCUUUCAAUUGAACACGAAAAAAGAGAAAGAGAAAAAAAAUAAAGAACUACAAAUCAAAGUAGCAUCCAUGACCCAUUUUGCAGUCUCAUUCAAUACCACUAGUACCCAUCCAACACGAUUUAUCUAAACAAAGUAUAAAGUGCAAAAUUACAAUAAGCAUAUCAUACUCCAUGCUUUAAGUUAAAGAUCCUUAUAUAUUUUUAUGAAUAAUUUUUUGAUGAAAUUUUAUGAUUAAAAUUAAAAAUACAAACAUUCAAAUGAGAAUGUCGGACACUUGCGCAACUAUUUACCAAAUUUUUUCUCUAUAAAAAUCGACCUGCAACUUUCAAUAGGUUUAAAUUUAUAAUAUCAAACUUGAUUGCAGCUCGCAAAAAUUAUCUGUUGCGGCCAAGACUUUGGAUUUACGAUGAUUUUGCCACCCUAAGUGUAGUUAGUAUUGUAUCUCAUGUGGCUCUUAUAAAAAGCCUAGAAGUUGUUUGAAUAACGAGGGAGACACAUAUCUCCCACAGAUUUUUUCUUUUUCAAAGUAUUAUGUUUUCUCUAUUAUUGUAACUUCGAAUCCUUAUAAAUUAUAGAUUGGAGACAUGAACACAAUGUUUUGACAUAGUGGACUUUUGACUUGUCCAGAGAAAUUUAGGAUAGAUUUUUACGCACUAAGGCUCUAUUUACUAUUGAGGUUUUAGAACUUUUAAGCCACACUAGAAAUUUGUAUUGUUUUGAUAGAGUUGUAGUCUUUGAUAUGUGAUUGGUAUUAAUCAAGUGUUAUGUUUACAAUAGUUAAAGGCAUAUUGAAUCAAAAUCCACUUCUAAGGGCUUGAUUGAGUGAUUGUAAAGUAGGUUUUUAGUUUGCUAGCCACUCAAGUUCAAAUAUUAGAACCACAGAGCUUUAUAGCCAAGUGAGAGAACUUGUGCCCUAAAAAUUGAGGGGUGCAUAUCAAGUUUUACCACCAAUAAAAGUUGGUGUUAAAACUUUAAUUUCCCUCUUAUUGAUGGAUAUGGGUAAUUAGGAGUUUACAUCCCCUCCUAUUAAUAGACAGGGGUUAUUAGGAAUAUUAAAAAAAAGUUUAAAUAUUGAAAAUAUAGGUAUGAGUUAUAAAAUUCAUAAUAUAAAGAAAAAAAAUCAAGAUAAAGAUUUAAAAAUUUAGAACCAUGAGAGCGUGACUUGUAAGUUUCAAAGAAGCAUGUGCAAAUAUAUGCAUUAUCGAUGCCCAAUUAAGGGUGGGCAUUAAGAUCGGGUUAACCCGAACCGAAUCGAACUUAAAAUUUAUUUUCUCACAAAUGGGUGGUUUGUGCGGGGGAUUCACUGGCUUUUGUUUGCAUUGCCUUAUUGGAUAAAGUCGAGCAUGAGUGAAGAAAAAUUAAAAAUAAAAAAUUUCCCAUUAAUUUGCAACAAGUAUUAUUAAAGUGCAUGAGAAAAGCCACCAGGAUAUGUCUUUUUUUAAAUGAAAAUAAAUGCGUUAAUUAGUCAAUUUAAAUGGUAAGACAUUUUGAAAUGACAGAAGCGAUCUAAAGUUUAAAUCUUACUCACACUUAAUUUAGGGUUGGGGAUUAAUUGACGUACGAUAUAAUAACGAAUUCGAAAGACAAUUAAAAAUUAAAAGAAAAUAAAAAAGUACUUUCUUUUUUAUGAUGAUAAUUUGUUUAGAUGAUGAAAACUCUUAGAGUGGUGUUAUCAGUACAUAGUUUCGAGCGUUGCCAACGUGAAUAAUAUUUAAUUUCCUUUAUAUAGUUAUAUCUGAACUAACAUUUUAACAGAAAUAAGUUGUAAAAAAAAAAAAAGGAACCAUUGAGAUUUGAGAGAACGAAAAACGAAUAAAAAAAAAAAAGUUAAAAAAUUAGAUCUCAAUAAAUUUACUUGAGAACUACUUUACUGAUUAGUGAAGAGAAAACACAAAGAAUAAUGAUGAAUAUCAAUUAAUAGGUCAGUUUUUGUAUUUUUCGUUUAUUCAAGAAUCAUGAAACUUCAUUGGAGACAUUCCUUUCCAAUUAUGCCCAUAUAUUAAUUAAAGACCACCAAAAAGUUCAGGGAUACUAUAGUAAUUUAAGUCAACAAUUUCUGUGCUUGAAAUCAGCCGAUUGAACUCACUUUAGAAUAAACUGAUAAAUCAAAAUCACAUUCUCCGAUUCUCCGAUUUCAUGCAAUUCAUCUUAUUUCUUCAACUGAAGAAUGGAUUGUAUCUCGUUUUAUUUUAUUUUUAUUUUUAUAUAAAGAUAAAUAUAAAAUAUAAAUGACGAGGAGACUGUAAAAGUAAAAUCAAAAGAACAACACGAGUUUUAUUGAAAAUGAAUCUUUUCAUCAUUUUGUUGGAGUGGAUGUGUCUACAUAAAAACUAAAGAAGCACAUUUGUUUGUAUUAACUUUUUUUUUAUUGUAUUUUUAAUAAUAAGUCAUUUGUCAAUGACCUUAUAUCAAUUUUUACGAAAAUAAUAGGUGUGUGUUAGUUUAUUCAAAUGGCAAAACCUCUUGGGAUAGAGCUUGUAAUUUAGUGGCUCACGAUUUGUCUAAAUUGACACUACCGAAUUAUUGUAUUUGGUUAAAAAAGCUCCUACUCUGCUUUAACUUUAUUAUCCUAUGAUGUUUAUUAAUAAAUAACAAUUUUAUUGAAAAAAAGACCUCUUGAAAUGAUACAAAAGAUUUGUGAUAUGAAUCUCACUCGAAUUUAGCUUGAGGUUGGCAUUGUUAGCAUAAUAUUUGAAGAUAGAUUUUUUUAAUUAAAAAUCAAAAGAUUUUUUUUUUUUGGGGUUCAUACUAGUUAGUUUUAACUCAUAGUGAGAUUUAAACAAAAAUGGAAUAAUAAAUCUUGAUAUCCUGACUCAUGGAUAACGUAUAGAUAAGAUAGUAAAAUUUAUUGUGUCGAAAAUAAGAGGUUUGAAGUUUGAAUUUCGCUUACAUAGAUAGUAAGAGAAUCAAAUUAUUGAUAGAUUAAAUUAAUUAAAAAAUUUUCUGAUAUCCAAAACAACAUAUCAACAAAAUUGAAAUAAAAGAAAAUUGAAGAGGAAAACCAUUGAGUUUGUGAGAACGAAAAAUUAACACAAGAAAAUUUCGAUCGCUAAUUGUAUCAGCGUGCGCCAACUUCACUUAUUAAAACAUGGCUAUUUCAUUUUCAUGGAUAAUCAAUUUGACACCGGUCAAAUUUAAAAGUUUUAAAAACUAUGGGCGAUUUGUCUUUCCAGCUAUGCCCAUUAACUAAUAAGAGAACCGCCGAAAGGGUUCGGGGAUAAUAUAGUAAUUUAAACCAACUGUGCUUCAAAUCAUCAAAUCAAACUCACACCUCACAAAAGCAGAGAAAUCAAACGGUUUCCGACUCUACGCUUUAAAUUCAGCUUCAUUUCUUCAACUGAAGAAUCGGUCGUCUCUCAUUUUUUAUUUAUUAUAUAAAGAAUCGGUCACUCUUCAAGUAACUAACUUUUCCUCUUUCACUUCUCUUCAUUUUUAUUAGUUAAUUAAGAUCCAGUUAAUGUAAUUAAUUUUAUUUAAUCUUUUAAAUAAAGUUCUAGAUUAGGCUAACUUAGAUUCAUGUGAAGUUGAAGUGAUUUACUUUCGAUCUCUUUUUCGUCCUAUGUUUAUUUGUACUUACUAUUACUUUUUUUUUUUGGGUUUAAAUUUUCGUUUUUGAAGUGUUUACUGAUUAAAUUUCUGAGCUUUAUUUGUGUAUGAUGAUUGAUUUGUGAUUUUAAUUUGUGACUUUUUUUUUUGGAAUUUAAAUUUGAAUGCUUUUUAAGUUGAAUUGAAUUGCUGUAUGAUCAGGUCAAAUUAAAAUGUUUAAGCUCAUUUUUAAGAAACGAAUUCUCAAUUGGACCAGCCUUUCACAGAAGCUGAUAUCACAGAAGCUUUGAGUCAGAUGCAUCCAACCAAAGCCCCUGGCCCAGAUGGUCUCCCAGCAGUAUUUUUCCAAAAGCUUUAGAAUUCAGUAAGCGAAGGAGUUAUAGCCACUUGUCUGCAUAUCCUCAAUGAUGGAGGUAAUAUUGCUCCUUUGAAUCAUACAUACAUUGCUUUAAUCCCCAAGAUAGCAAAACCUAGGACUCUGAUGGAGUAUAGACCAAUCAGCAUAUGUAAUGUAAUUUAUAGGAUCAUUGCAAAGACUAUAGCGAAUAGGCUGAGGCUAAUCUUAGAUCAUGUUAUUUCACCAACUCAGAGUGCUUUUAUGCCAAAUAGGCUCAUAACUGAUAAUAUAAUUAUUGGGCAUGAGUGUCUUCAUAAGUGGACAAAGCUAAGUUCCAGAGGUGAGAUAGGAAAUUCUCCCGCACGACACAGCAGAAACAAACUUUCCCUUUCAUUUUCUUUUCUCUUUCUCGCUCUCCAAACAGAGCAAAAGGACCGUCACAAGAUUCUUCACUUCCAUCCAAAAUCAUGAGCAACAAAUGGUGAGCCUCCCUGUUUCCUUCCUUUUUUUUAUAUUAACCUUGUUAACAUAUACUCAUUUUAAUUUGACAAUACUUCAACUUUUUUUAAUUUUUUGCCUUUUCAUUUUUUUUGUUGAAGCAAUUAUCUGUUCAAGCUGUUGCUUAUCGGAGACUCGUCCGUCGGAAAGUCCUGUCUGCUGCUCCGAUUUGCUGUCUGUUGACUUUUCCUUUCCCUUCUUAUUUUCUUUUUUUAUAUUAAUUACUUUCUAUUUUAGCUUUUUGUUCUCUGAAUUUGUGUUAUUAAAAUGAUAAUUUAGAUGAUAAAUAAUUGUUAUUGUUGUAAAUUUCGGUUUUCAUUACGUUAAUUGUUAGCUUUUAGGUUUAUUAAUGUAAUUUUUUUUUUUUCAAUUUUUCAGGAUGAUUCUUAUGUCACAGCUACAUCAGUACCAUUGGAGUUGAUUUUGUGAGUCUCUCUUCUAUAUAUAUGUAUAUAUGUGUAUAAGUUAUAAUAUGAGUCUAUGUACGUGUAUGUAUGUAUGUGUAUGCAUAUGUGGAAAGAAAUGUUGGCAGACUUCAGCAUUUUACUCUUUUUUUUUUUGGCAGAAAAUAAGAACUGUGGAGCUGGAUGGGAAGACGAUCAAACUGCAGAUUGUGAGUCAAAAUUUCCUUUUAUCUUGUAUUGAGAGAAAUUCGAUUUGUCUUAUUUUCUUUGUUUGAAGAGUGAUAUGUUGAAAUGAGUGUAUUUGUCUUAUAAACAUCAUUUAGGUAAUGUCUUAUGUUUGAUUGUUUUUCAUCUGUUUAGUGGGACACUGCUGGACAGGAGCGAUUCAGGACUAUAACUAGCAGUUAUUACCGAGGAGCCCAUGGAAUCAUAGUAAGGAGCCUUCCCGGUUCUUGGUUUAAAUCAGAAAGUUUGUGAUUUACAUGUGACAUCUUAACAGCAUUGUAUGUGUUUAUUAACUUAUUUUUCAUCUUUCAUUAAGCAGUACAUUUUCUAUUAAAUCUGUAUACAAGAUGAUGUAGUCCAAGAAUGGGAGCCAUAAUAUGAUGCAAAUUGUCUAAUAAAUUCUUAUGACAUAUGAUGUUGUCGGAAGUAAAAGUCUUGCAAUGCUGUAUUCUCUUUUAAGAAAGAAUAAGUGGUAAUUUUGUUUUUCCAAUUUUUUAAUUGAGCAACUGUAUGAGAUUAAUUAAAUGUGUUGGGAUUUCAACAGAUUGUCUAUGAUGUAACUGGGAUGGAGAGCUUCAAUAAUGUCAAGCAGUGGUUGAAUGAGAUUGACAGAUACGCAAAUGACAGUGUAUGCAAGCUUCUAGUUGGGAACAAAUGCGAUUUAGUUGUGAACAAGGUUGUGGACACACAGACAGCCAUGGUAUAUUCAUGACUUUUGUUGCCUGAACUUUGAAUAUAAUUUUAAACUCUUCUCAAGUGCAUUUGCUUGGUAAGUUUCUGCAUACCCAGGACACUCAAACUUUGGACAGUCUGUAUCUCGAGUUGGAAUCUUUUCUGUCAAUACGACUUGUUAAAAUAAGGGUUGUUAUCUUUUGAAUCAUUCAAGAAUUCACUACUACAAAAAUGACCUUUACUGACACUUCGUUUCUGACACUUCGUUUCUGACACUUCGUAAAAAGUGUCAGUAAUGGUUUACAUUUUGGUCAUUUUUUCCAUUUAACAAAUAUGUAUCAUAAAUCACUGGUACUAAGGUGUCAGUAGCAUAAAACUCAGUAAUUACUGAUGCUUUAGUAUCAGUGAUAAAGACAAAUAUAAUUCUAAUUAUAUUUUUACUUGGACUCGAACUCAAUAUCUCCGAAGUUAAAAUUUUAAUUUCAAACUACAAGCCACGUGUGCGCAUAUUUUCUUUGUUUGGUUAAACCAUAUAUAAUUAACCAAAAACCCUUUGCCAUAAUUUAACACAAACUUUUCGAUCUCCCUCCACCAAAUUUUGUUCCCUCUCAAACAAACUAAAAUCCAAAUCCCUAAAAUUCCAAGUGCCUAAAUCCUUAACUCUCCCUAAGUGCUAACCAGUGACAGCCCCUCUCUAAGGCCUUAGCAGCACGCACGAUGACGGCGGCACACGUAGCCCGAGUACCGGCAGCCCAGCAGGUCGCACCACACAUUGCAGUAGCUCGCUCGCUUUCACUCUCUCUCUGAAUGCACACACAGCAGUGGCAGCCCCUCUCUCUCACGCUCGUUUUGUCGCUCUCACUUUCUCCGUCUCUGGUCACCAUCUCACCUUCCGGUCUAAACUGUUGUCGUCGCAGCCGCGUUCAGCCGUCGCCAUCGUGCCGGCCGCUUGAGACAGUGAGUUGAGAUUCCACUUUUUAAUUUUUUUUCAUAAAAUUUUUGCCUGAAUUUGAUUAGUCAAAUACUCAAAUUAAUUGCGUUGUGAGUAAUACUGUAAUGAUUUAAUUUGCCCUGCAUCCCCUGCAGAAGGUAAGCAACUCCAUUUUUAGGGUUCGUGUAGUAGUGUCUUGACUGAAUCGCCUUAGUAAUCAUAAGGUCAGUUUUCUCAAGAAGGGCAACUUCGAUCUUUUGGCAUUUUCAGUGCUGCUUCUGAAUCUCUGUUUACUGUAGCCUGCUUCUACAUGUGAUUUGAGGGCCAAGAAUUUAUCUCAAGGGAAAAUCACAUUAUGUUUCAAUUCUCUGUUUGACCCUUUUAACUUUUGAAUAUCAACAUUAUAUGUUUAGUGUUCCGUCAAUUGUUUUAUCAAAUACAUAGACCUUUGGGCUUUAGACACUAGUGUUCAAAAUUAGCAUCUAGUUUUUAUGGUAUCUUUGAGCAGGGGUUUCGCUUCAUUUGGUUGAAUAAAAGAUCAGUUUUCAUUGUCAUGGAUCAAAAAAAAAAAAAAAGGCCUUGGCCACUAGUACCUCAGGAGGUCAAAGCCAAGGCUUCCAAAGACAAUGUUCCCAUGAUCGAUGUGACUCAAUUUGGCUACUUUAAGGUUUUAGGUAAGGGCCUUUUGCUUGAGAACCAACUCGUUGUGGUGAAGGCCAAGCUUGUUUCCAAAAUAGCCAAGAAGAAACUUAAAAAAUCUGGUGGGUCUGUCGUGUUUACUGCUUGGGUUUAGUGUUAUUGCUUUUAUAAUUUUUUUUCUGUUAUUUUGGUUUCAGCUUUUGAGGAUUUGACUAUAUAGUUUUGGAUAUUUAUGUUAUCAUCGGAAACUUUUUGUUUUAUAUUAAGGCAUGUUAUUGAUUAAGAAGAAGAAGAAGAAGAAGAAGAAGAAGAAGAAGAAGAAUAUUUUGCAGAAAAUGUUUUAGUUUCUUUCUUCCAUUCGGCAUUUGUAGUAUUUAUUUGAUUCGAUUUCUGUCAUGGUGUGUUGAUUAUGCGGAUGAUAAGAUACUACCUUGCUCCUUUACUUAUGUUUGAUUCCUUAUACUAGAAACAUACCUCUAGUAGAGUUGCCAUUUAUCUACUUUAUUGUUGUAAAAUCUGUUAUAAAAUGUAUAAGCAAUCAUUCAUUUGAACUCUCUUUAUAUGCUUAAAAUCUGAAUUCAUGUACAAGGUGUUAGUGUCAAUGUUGUUGAUCAUUUCAAUAAGUAGUGCCAAUUUAUAAUGACCUUGGUGCAUUUCUAUUCAGUCAGUAAACUUUUGUCAUUUAAGUUGUUUAUUUGUUUAACAAAUGUAUAACUAGUUUCUACAAAUUUACUUUGUGUAUAAUAGAUGAUUCAAAAUCUUGGCAUAGAGGAAAGUGAAGUUUCUGAGGUAAAUAAGGUACUUUACAAAAACUAUACCACAUCAAUGGUUGGUCUAAGAUACAAUAUAUAUGUAAGUUUAAAUGCACUAUUAUUUAUAUACAUAUCCUUGCCAAAAAAAAAAAAAACCAAUAAAAGCAGUUUCAUAAACUGAUGUAAAUGUUGUUAUUAUUGUUAAUUUGCAGGCUAUCAGCUAUGAUGUCGACAAUGGUGACUAUCAUAGGUAACAUUAUUUUCCUUUCUAAUUCAUCUGAAAGUGUUAAUUUGCAGGGGCUGUUUCUACUACAGAAUAGCAACAAGACAGCCCCUGUAGAUUUCUAGUGGUUGUUUUCACUGCACAACAGCCCCUACAGAUUUCCGGGGGAUGUUUUGUUGCUAUUCUAAAGUCAAAAAAACUCGUAUAAUUUUUUUGGGCUAUUUUGCAAUGAAAAUACUUUUGAGGUUUGUUGAGGAAGGAGGGGAAUGAGAGCGGUAGUUUUUUAGAAGGCUUGAUGAGAGUUUCAUAAAUUUGACAAGUUUUAUGAGAUUAAAGUGAAAGAAGUUUAUGCUAAGGCUGAAAGUUUGAGUGGGUAAAUGGAUGUUUUGAUUGCAGAUUUCUGUUGUUUGAUUAUAAAAAAUAGGAAGGUUUUAAUUAGAUUGACUUAGAUGUUUUGUUUUCUGUGACUUGUAGCAGGUUAUCCAACAUGGCUUCUUUAGACAACUUAAGCUAAGGUUCUUUAUUUCUAUAACUUUCAGUAUUAUUGUAAUAUUAUUUCUUAUUAUUUUAUUAGUUGUUGAAACAUCCUUCAAUUGCUUUGUUUAACUACUCGCAAUCAAUUUGUUUUCCAUAAUCUAUUUCCAUACUAAUUGAUUUUAAUUAUGUUGUUGUAGGUGGGGAAAAAAUGAAGCUGCAUAUGGAUAUUGAGUGAUGUUCUUGUGCUUCUUUUUGGUGGAAACUAAAUUAGUACUUUGUGGUUGUUGAAAACUUAAUUUAGUACUUAUAUUUUUCUUUUCCAGAUAGUGGUGUAGUUGAAUCAUGUGAAUUUGAGUGAUGUAUUUGGGAUGUUUAUUAUGUGAAUUAUAUUGUGACAUUUUAUAUAUUUGAUAUAUUUUGAGCUUUCUUUUAGUUGUAAAACAAACAGGAAAAAUAUAAUUAGAAUAAAAAAAAUUUAUUAACCAAUCCUCAAUAACAUUACGAAAUACUGACAUUAAAUAUUUAAAUUGAAAUGAAUAUUUUUUGAUAUUAUCGAGCUAGCUUGUUAUUGAUACUAUAGUCACAUAAAUCACUGACAUGUAAAUAGUAUCAUCAAAUAUUAACAUUAUCGUAUCAUUAUUUUGGUGAUACUAUAGUGACAUGAAUUACUGAUACAAAAAUCACUGACACUAAAAAUUAGUGUCAGUGUGUUCUGGCUUGAGCAUCACUGACACAAUUAACAAGUGUCAAGAAAAGUAAUUACUGACACUAAUUUAGUGUCAGUAAAACCCAUUUUUGUAGUAGUGAUUGCAAUAAAUCUAAAGUCCAUAAAAAAUAUGAUUCCAUCAUUUUACUAUUAUAUCUAGACAAAACCCAUUAUUUUACUACAUUUCAUUGGCACCGAUAGUUGACCUGUUGGCUGACUGAUAAAAUAUCAAUUUUGCACUUUAUAUUAAUUGUUUUUUGGUUAAAAAAUAACACACAAAGUAUUACAAUAUUAUAAAUUCAAAAUAUAAAGUAGUUACAAAUAAUUCCUAUUAGCCUAUGAAUAUAAUAUUUGAUACCUCUAUUUGUGUAAUUUUUUUCCAAUGGUGAAAUUGUUAUUUUUUUUGUACUAACGGAAAUGUAGUAAAAUCAUAAGUUUUGUAAAGAUAUAGUAGUAAAAUGAUAGACUAAAAUACUUCUUGUAGUUGUUUGAUAUAUUGUAAUUCUUAAAGUAGUCAAUUGAUAAUAUCCCCUAAAAUAAAUGUUCGUAAUAUGUUCUCAUUUUAAUGCAACUGAUUGUUUAAUAAAAUUGUAUUUCUUUGUUAAUCUUUUAUCAUGUGCAUGCUCAGUGAGAAUUUGACUUGCUAGAACACAAGUUUGACUCUUCAUUUAAAUGUCUCUUGUAUCAUAUCCUUCAAUGUUGAGUGUGAUUCCAAUAAAAUUGAGUAGGGAGAUCCUUAAAUACCUUUUCCUUUUUUCCAAGGGCCUGCCAAAUUGCUCUAAGUGGUUCUACCCUUUAUCAAUGAAUAAUGAAAAUAAAAUUUUUAUUAAAGCAUUCUGUUCCUUAAAUGGUGACUAAUAGUACCCUUUUUUUUUUGGAGAGGAAAGCCAAACGCCCAAAGAGGAUCAUUUACUUUCCUCUAAUGUAUUUUCUAAUUCGUUUUGAGCCUUGAAUGUCUGUUUUGGUGCGUAUUCUCAUUCCAUGUCGAAUCUUAUCCAUAUGGACAACCCCACUUACAAAAAAGUCUAAUGAAUCUAUUGAAGUUCAUAUGAGGUUUGUGCUUUAGAUUUAGACCUCUCUCUCUCUCUCUCUCUCCACUUACAUGUCUUUCACUUACCUGUUUGCAUGCAUGCCCAUGCACACACUUUCAAGAUAAUACACGGUCACUCGUACUUCUGUUUUGGUUGAAUUACUGGCUGCUAACCUCUGUAAUUCAGUUUGAAACUUGCCACCCUUAGUGCUUCACUCAAAUGGUUGGUUAGGGUGAGAUCUGUAUCGUUUUCCUGGUCUCUUUCCAAGGUUAUCUAAAGGGAUUUGGCAGUCUGAUUCUUUAGGGAAUAUCAUUGCAUAAGAUAUCUAUUGUUUGUUAAUGAAUAAUUUCUAUUUAACUAGUUAUCUAUAUAAAUUGGUAAAUUUUAACUGCAUAAUUUGCAUGCAAUAAGAUUUUAUAAGAAUCUUGUUUUCAACGCAUGACUUAGACUAAUGUGAUAUGUUGAGCAUUAAGCUACAAGAUCUGCACAUCAAAGUGCUUCACAAUGUUAAGGAGAAAGCAUCUUUUUCUGCUUCUUCAUGUGAUUUAAAGUUUCCAUGGUACUUAUCUAAUAAAAUAUCUUUCAAGACUUUGGAAAUGCUUUUAUGUAUGACUGAGAGAAACUUGUUGGGUUGGUUUUUAGCAACAGACGGAGUUAUGGACUUUGUGUUGACUUGUUAUUGAUUAAGACAGUACAUCGGCUGAUCUAUUGGCAUCAAGCAGCAGAUGCAGAAAUUAUGGGUGGCAUACCAUUGUAUCCAAAUAACAUACUACAUUGAUUUUUCUGACUUUCUGUUGGCCUCCGAGUGAAAUGCAGGCAUUUGCAGAUGAACUGGGGAUUCCUUUCCUGGAGACGAGUGCCAAAGAUGCAAUCAAUGUGGAGCAGGCUUUCUUGACCAUGGCCGGCGAGAUUAAGAAAAAGUAAAAUCACUUAACUCUUUCCUUCUUGCCGACUGUUCUUAUUCAACAACCACCAUUAUUGCUGGUUAUGUGCAUUGUGAUGAAAAUUCUGCAAUGAAUAACUUUUUACCUAAUGUUUUCUGUUGGAACAAAUUACUCUGGUAGAAAAGCCCUACAGGGUUUGAGAAAUCCCAUGAUGUGAUGAUUGUGAGCAUUUUAGACACCGUGUAUGGGUUUAUUUUGUGACUAUAAAAUGUUAAGAUUGUUUCUAGUUUUGGUUUGUAGUGCAUAAAAGGAUUCAAAAUUUGACAUCUGUCUAAAUCAGAUUAAUAACAUGAUAAUAAUGUACAUAUGCAAGAUGUGAGGAAUUGUUUUAUCUCACCCCUAAACUUUAAGAAAUUGAAACAUUAUUAUUCAAAAUAUUUAACAUUUCCAGAAUUGAUAGUUGUCUAUUUGAGCAGUGACUGGUGGUUAUCAUGAACUGAUGUGUGGUUGUGGUUUCAAAUCUUCGUGAAACCUGUUGUCAUAUGCUGAUUAACAUAGCUAGUCUCUGAAACAAUUUGUUGAUUCACUAAUUAUGAGUUCAAAUUUGAUGCAGAAUGGGCAACCAGCCUACUGCAAACAAAUCUUCUGGAACAGUUCAGAUGAAGGGAUAGCCAAUCCAGCAAAACAGCAACCGCUGUGGUUAGCCGAGCAUCUUAUUUUACUUCUACAUGUUAGCUGACUGAUUGUAGACAGUUUUAACUAUGUUGACUGCAUUAUCUUAUGAAUCUUUUAAUCUGUCAAAUAUUUAUUUCCUGCUUUAAGUUCUUUCCCGUUUAUAACAAAUUUAAUUUCUUGCUCUAUAGCAUUCCAAAUUCCUGUUAAUUUACGAGGGAAAAAGAAAAGAGACGAAAUGGGAGAAAAUGGUCAAAUUUGUUAGGGGGGGAGAGCUGUUGAAGUAGUUUUUGUUCUUGUUUAUCAUCGUGACCCUCUUGUCGCUUAUCUACUACCUGGAAGUCCGGUCAUAUCGGAUGGGUAAAGUUACCGAAACGGCAUCAUUUUGGGUGAAAUAUCAUGUUUAUAUAACACUUUUGAUAAUAUUUUUAUGCAACAAAAAAAUGUUUGCAGUACCCUUUUCACAUUGUGAAGCGCAUGAUCGGAUGAGAGCAGUCUGGAUUCUGGCAUCACAAGCUAAUGCUUUGAUUUGCUUAGUUUGUUUUUUGUUUCUGAUAUUUUCUCGGCAUAGUGUAAAUGUAUGAAGAUGAAAUUGUUGGGUUGGUUUUGUUAUGGAAUUUGGUUUACUUCACUAACCAUUAAUGCGCAAAACCUCCUAACGACCCUCAAAAAUCCCGUACAUAAUUAAAGAAUUUCAAUUUUAUAUGUACAUAAAUAAAUAACUCUCAAAUAUAUUAUUUGAUAAUCCCAAAAACAACAAUUCAUUUUAAUAAAUCUCGUAGUCAAUACAUGGUCUAUAUUGCAAGUGUUUUCGAGACUAAUUGAAAAAGAAAAUACGAAGGAUAUAUAAUUGACUUUUACUUGUUAUAAAGAACUCUAAAUAAAUUCAUAUACGCAUCGCAGCUAAUUACAGUCUUGGUACUUCAUUAGGUUUUUGUUAAUUUUCUAUACAGUUGUGCUGUGCAUUAAAGUUUUGUUAAAUGAAAUCGGUAGUGAGAAUUAAUUAAUUAAUUAAUUAAGAUCCAGUUAAUGUAAUUAAUUUUAUUUGAUUUUUUUUAAUUCGAGUUCUAAAUUAAUCAAUUAAUUUAGAUUCAUGUGAAAUUGAAGUGAAUUAGUUUCAAACUGUUUUUCGUUCUAUGUUUGUCUGUGUUUACUCUUACUUUUUUUUUUUGUUUAAGUUUUCGUUUUCUUAUUGUUUACUGAAUAAAUUUCUGAGCUUUAUUUGAGUAUGAUGAUUGAUUUGUGAUUUUAAUUUGUGACUUUUUUUUUUGGAAUUUAAAUCUGAAUGCUUUUUAAGUUGAAUCUGAAUGUGUUGGGCUGCGAUUUAAUUGAGUGAUGUGUGAGCGCCAAAUAUUCAAUAACUGAUAAAUUAUAUUUAUAAAUAUUAAUAGUGAUGGCACAUAAACAAUUAAUUCAAGAACUUGCCCAUAAGCCACUCGGCCUUUGGCUGAGUGGUCAGGACUGCUGCCCUUGGAGGGCAGCAAUUCGAACCCUCACAAUGCAUUGUGGGGGUAUUUUCUUUCUUAAUUAAAUUUGAGUGAAGGCAGUCUGCUCUCUUACCCAAAAGUGAGGAGAGGGAGUAGACAUCCCUCGAAUAUUUGAGAGGGUUAAAAUCUGGGCAUCGCUCCAUUAGCAUUGAUGUAAGUUGGUCCCAGUCAUAAUCUGAUUUGUAAAUAUCAGUUAUAUUCUCAUGUAAUAUGAGUUGUAAUCUGAGUAAUAGUCUCAUGUAAUAAAAAAAAAAAACGAACUUGCCCAUAGUGAUUAAUUUAAAGAGUAUAAGUAACAUUGCAGUAAGUUGGUCCUUGCGUGUUUAAUUAGCAAUUGAAAACUACUGUUGCUGAUGAGGUAGAACAUUAUAACACUGUUGCUGAUGAGGCAGCUGGUAAUUCUUCUGGUGAAGAUAUUAAGACUAUUAAAGCUGAAAUGUAAUUAGAGAAAUAUAAUGCAUUCCCUUAGUUUGCUUUUUGUUUUUGAUAUUUGUUUGGCUACUGCGUUGCUUAGAUUGCUUUUUGUUUUUGAGAUUUUAUUGGCUUGGUCAUGGGGUAUUGUUUUCUCUUCUAAUUUCUAUUUUUGUUGUUAUGGGAUUUGAUUAUGGUGUACAUAUACGAAAAUUAUGUAAUCAAGUGCUUUCGAUAAAUCAUGAUCGAUUUACUAUUAAUUAAUCAAAUUUAAUUUACUCAAAUUACUCAUGUACACGAUCAAAAUAAUUUUAAUUCCAUAAUAUAUAUACACACGCGCACACACAAACAAAAUGUAAUUGACAUUGAAAUAUAAAAUAUUUAAAAUAAUCACCGUACUAACAAUUCACAAGUUAGAUUUUAUAUAAAUAGAUGAAAUAAUGUUACUCUUGCGAAUCCAGUCAUAAUAAAUUGAUUUUCAUUUCUAUUAAUUAUGUCGAACCAUGCUAUUUUAAUAAAGAGCACUUGAGAAUAUAUAUCCAACAGGUAAAAUUUCAAAACAAUAUUUGCCAAAGUCUGAUGAAGAGAAUAUACACGCACGCACAUAUAUAACCAUACAGCAGAAGGAUAAAUAAAAGAAAAUGAAGUUUCAACAGCUGAAUAAUGUAAAUUCAUUUUUUUUAACAAGCAUUUUAUUGUUUAAUUAAAAAAUUCGAAAACCCAUUAAAUACAUAUAAGGACUCACUGACGCCGAACCAUAUUAAUUUAAAUUAGUUUUCAACUGAGAUUAGAAUUUUGAAAUUACAUACACAAACACGCCCAAUUAAAAAGUAGUAAUUAUAAAAUAUUUCAGUACUCGUUUUACCAUCCAUUUGAGCAUACACAAACACACCCAAUUUGAAAAAAAAAAGUAGUAAUUUUAAAAUAUUUCAAUCGUCCACUGUUCAGUCACCAAAAACCAAUUUACGAUUCAUUUCAACGCCUAAUUUGAAAAAAGAAAAUACUAAUAAUAAUAAAAUAUUCCAAUCGUCCAUCCUUUCACAAAUCAAAAAUAUCACCAAAAACCAAUUUCCAAUCUAUUUCAAAACAAUUUUUGCCAAAGUCCUCUCCUCGGCUAAUUAAUUCAUACAUUAAUACAGUCCUCUGCUGAAUAAUGCAAACCCGUUACGUUAUUCUACCAUUUCUUAAAUUUAAAGCAUUCCACCAUUUAAUAAAAAAAUUCGAAAGCCCACCGACACCAAACCAUAUUAAUUUAAAAUAGUUUCCAAUUGAGAUUUGAAUUUUAAAAUUACAUACACAAACACACCCGAUUUAAAAAAAAAUAAUAAUAAUGCUAACAAUAAAAUAUUUCAGCCGUCCUAUGUGUUAUCGCCAAAAACGGAUUUCCAAUCUAUUACAACAUGAGGUAUAUGAGUUAACAAGUCCCAAUAUUGUCCUCCAUCCUUUCUGCACUUCUCUGCUAUCAACGGACAUCCUGCGAUCUGUAAUUGCAAAAGUGAGGAAGGCAGGCCCUUCUCCGGAAAGUAUUUGAGCUUGGGACAAUUAUGGAGUCGCAAUACAGUGAGGUUUUGAAGAUCAACAAUUGAAGAAGAUAGGCGUUCCAGAUUUGGAAAAUUGAAAAUCUCCAGAGACGUUAGAGAGGCAGGAAGAGGAAGCGCGGUCCCUAAUCUUUUGUCCUCUAGUGGAAAUGACACCAUGUCCUCAUCACAUCCACUGAUUAAAAGACGUUGCAGAGAGGAGAAUCUGUGAAAUCCCCGUCCCCGCUCAAUCAUUGACUUCCAAAUCUCCAUAUUACCCCAAAUAUCAAGUGACUGAAGGUUGGUGGGAAGGCCAUCUUCUUCUUCAAGGCUUGGAAGCGCACCUCCUUUUCCUAUUGUUAAUUCUUGAAGAGAGCUCAGAUUGUGCAUUCCCUUGGGUAAGGCCUCUAGUCUCUUACAAUUAGAUAUCGCCAGCCUCCUGAGUUUCGCACAAGGCAAUCCCCCUUCGGGAAAGGACACCAGAUUUUUACAACUAUCUAUGCUGAUUGUUUCAAGAGAUGUGUUGUUGUCCAACCUUUCUGCUAUUGACUUCAGCUUUGAACAACUCCAAACAACGAGGGACUUAAGAGACGAAGGUAGAUUGCCAACUUCAAGGGACUCAAGCCUGGCAGGUAACUCGUUUUUUGAAAAUAUACAUGUCAGAGAUGGACAACUAAUAAUUUCUAAGUGCUCGAGAAGAGAUGAGGUGUACCUUCUGCUGCUGCUGCUGCUGCUACACUGGAUACCCUCUUCCGCUGUCAAAGUCCUUAUAUUAUCGCAAUUGUAAAUCUCCAACUGCUUAAGGCUCGGUGGUAGCUGGACCGCAACAAUAUAUGUCAACG
rnacentral:lncRNA from 1 species